AUUCGUGCCAAUAUGAGCAUCGCUAGCACUUCAUCCCAUGAAGCUAUCUCUGAAGGACAAGUGAACUACUCGAAUCAAGAGAGCGAAGGGUUGCUUAAUCGUAACCAGAUGAAUGACUCGAAGAGGAGUAUAGGCAUUAAAAGAAGCUUGGAUGCUAGAGAAAAGGGCACAGAGGAACAAUGCAACUUCCAUCAAUCACUAGAACCGAAAAAUAAAAAAUUAACCCUCGAACAGCUUGGAGAGAAAGAUGAGAAGCAAAUAAACAAGAUAAUGACAGAUCGGCUUAACAGGCAGCUAGAGCAGGUAAAUUCUCCUCAUUGAAUUUAAUAAUUAUUUUUAUAUAUUGAAGGCAAAAAUGCCACUAGCAACUACUAGCACGGAUUGGACUCUGCAUUAUAAGUUAUGCUUCUUUUAAGCUAGUUUAUUAUUGAAAAGUAUUGUGAUAAAAUGUUUUACAAAAGUGUUUUUAAAAAAAAUUGAAUAGUGUUUAUCAUUUUUGUUAAAAAUUGUUUUUAGAAAUAUAAAACAUUUAUUUUAAAGGUGAUUUUGUAAAAUAUAAGAUUCAAUGAGGAGAUAAAAAAAAUAGUUUCAUUUAAAAGAAAUUUUUCAAAAAUCAAAAGCUAAAAAUUUUCACUUUGUGUUUUUUAGUUUGAAAUCAUGGUUGGGGUUGAGAAGUGUUUUUCUAAAUAAACUAACUAAAAUCUGAGAAUGAUUUUUACUUUUAGAGUCGACAAUAUAUCGUAAUAGAUGAUUCAAAAAAUCAUUGUAUCUACAAUGUAACUAUGCUUGUUUCUUUUAACACCUAUUUUGUUUGUAUAUUUUGGGAAAGGAAGGACAAAAAGUCAGAUAUGGAAUUAGUGCACACCAAGCAAUGGCCAGCACGACAGGAUGUGGAAGAAAUUAGGCAAGACUGCAAAGAAAUAGCUAAAAAAUAUGGUUUAAAAACACCUGGGGCGAAGCAAAGAUUGCUCGAAGUAGCAAGCAAGUUGGAGAUAAAACAAAAAGCACGUGAGGUAUGUUAAAUUUUUACAAAAUUUAAUUACUCAAUCUAAAUCUCCACUAACUUUUUAAUUUGAUUUUUCAGGACUCUGAGAACCCUUUCACUAAUAUGGUAUGUAUAUAUUUUUAUUUAAUUUAAUAUUGACGGUGUCAUGUUAUUAUUUAUUGAUGCUGCAUGAAAUUUAUGUAUUAAAGGGAGAAAUUAUUUUAUGGAUCCUUCUCAUCAUAUCAUCUAUGAUCCUUUUUUCUAAUUAUUUAAUGAUAUUUCAACAAUUUUUUCCAUGUCAUUAACAUAUAUCAAAUAAAAAAAAAAUUGAUGCACUUAGAAGAAUUUGGAUGGCCAUGUUUGCUACCUCUAUAUAUUGCUACAUUAUUUAUAAGUCACAUUAUAAUCAUAAUUUCUUUUUCACUAUAGUUGUAUUUUUAGACUUAGCAAUAAUACAUUGGAUAUGGAUUCAUGUAUUUUUAUCUUUUAUAAGUUUUCUUUUCUUUUUCUUUAUCUUGAUGUCUCAUGUCAUUUUUGAACAUGCUCUUACAUCUUUUUAAUUAAAUUUCAGGAUCACAUCGUGAAUAAUUUAGGUUUAUAUUUCGAUGGUCGAUUCAUUGAGGCAGUAAAAGAAAAGGUAUGAUAUGUACAUUAGCUGACCCAAGUAGUAUUUGAGAACAACCAACCAAAAAAAUUUGGGAACAUUAUUUAGUCUUUAGAAAUUUUUAUUCUAGUUAUAAGGCUAUUACUUGAUCAUCAAGAAACCUUGUUCAUUAAUCAACAUAAUCAUCUUGCAAUAUCCAUCAUCUAUGAUUAUUUAUUAAAUCCAUGAAUUUGUAUUUUUUAAGUACAUCACAUUAAAUCUCAACAAAUACAUAUGUAUAAUCAUAUACAUACCAUUCUCAUAAUUUAUGGUUUUUUAUGUUUAUUGUUUCAGUUUUCUCUAGAUCUUGGUAAUGGUCAUUCUGCAAUGUCUCCACCUCUACCCUCUGCUUUUAAUGAUUUGAAAAACCAAGUUUAUGUCCAAGGCAACAAACAAGUGGAGCCAGAAGAUUUUCAAGGUUUACCAGAAGAGUUGAAGAAACUUCGUUGGGGGGAAAUUCCAAGCUACCUUCAACCUAUUGCGAGCCAAAUCGUAAAGGAUUUUGCAAAAGUUGAGUUUAGCCAUACUACAGCUCUAGUUCUGUUUUGUGCUGCAGUAAAAGAGAUGGAAGAUUUUUCAGCUGAGAAAUUGGACUUGGAUACGUUAAAGAAGUGGGAGGCAACACUUAAAAAGGCUAAGGAAGUUGGUUUUCAAGUGGGAUUUGCUGAUGAUUUGUUAAGGAAGAAUUUGCUUGCCUACUUUGCUCACACACAUAUUCUUGGAGGAGGCUAAAAAAAGGAAGUUGGAGAGAUCAAAGGUGACUCAGCUCUCAUUGCUGAGAAUCAAAAGGGUGUUUUGCAUUCGCAGCAAAAUACACUGAACUUAUUUGAUUUGAUGCACUUUGGGUUUCAAUAUUUACUUUUCUCUAUUUAAACUAUUUGGUUUUGGGUUUAAAAAAAAAAAAAAACUAUAUGGAUACUUGGGUGUUUUGCUUGGACUUGGUGUUUUGCAAUCAUUUAUAUUAUAUGGUUUUUGAGACAUUGAUAUAUUUCAUCACCAUGUGCUUUAUAUAUAUGAAACUGUGUUAGUUAUUUUACCAGUUUAUUAAGUGUCAGAUUUGAGUGUGAGUAUUAAAAAUAAUUAUGUAUCCAAUAUGAUAAACUUAGUUUUUUUAAAAUUUUUCCAUAUUUUUAAAAGAUCCUUAUCUAUGUGACAGACAUGAGUACUUCAUUUAUUACUUAUUUUUCUUAGUUAUUUUUUUAAUACUUAAUUUUCCAAUUUAUUAAAUAUAGUUAAUAGUCUUAUCAGUUUAGAUGAGUUUAGAUAAAUUAAGGCAACCUAUGCAGAGAGAUUGAAUUUAAACGCAGCUGUAGAGGUAUGAAUUAAAAAAUCACUAUUAAAAGCAUUAAGUUAAAAAUUAUAUGAAAUAACUGUUUUAAAUUAUUUCAUAUUUAUGAAGCUAUUAAAAGUAAGGGCAAAUUUUAUUAAUAGUCACCCAAUUAUUAGUAAAUUUAAUUUUGGUUGUUCAAUUAUGAAAAGUUACAAAAUGGUCUUUCAAUUAUUAGUACAUUUAUUUUUUUGGUCACUUAUCUAUGAAAAGUUAUAAAAUAUCACUCAACUAGUCAAUUUCUUCUUUUUUGGUGACAGUUGGCUAAUGCAAAAAUGAAAAUAUCCAAAAAUUCAAUAUAGUUGGGUGACUAAAAAAUGGUCAAAAUAGUCAUUAUACAUUAGAUGAAAGAGUAAAUUGGUUAUUUUAUUAAAAGUUUCAUUCAUUUCUAUUGUUAAAAAUUAGUUCAUGUACGUCAACAUGAGGUACACAUGGAAUGUCACAUGUCACUAUUUAAUUAUUUUGUUAGUUAUGUCCGCUUUUAACAAUAGAAAUGAGUGAAUUUUUUAAUAGAAAAAAACAGUUUACUUUAUGGACUAAUUUACCUAUUUUUUAAGUAAGAGCAAAAUGUAUCUAACAAAUUUUGAUAUAGGCUAUCAAUCCACACACACGAGCAGGAAUAGGAAACUUUUGGUAUACCAUUAACCAAUUAUUUCCACUAGAAAUAUUGGUACCACAUUAGAUAUUUUGGUAUAAUGUUACAAAUUUUGGAUGAAUUAGAAGAGAAAGAUAAAAUUUUAAUAACAACGCGAUUAGUACGAUUUGACCCAAAAUAGUUAGGAGAGUGAACAUCUAACCAUCAAGUAAGGAAACUAAAUCCUCUAUAUCUUGAUUCAACAGUAAUAAGCUUUUGACAUUCUGAAAAAAGCUAAAAGAACAAAUAUAGAAAAUAAUAAAUUGUGAGAAUGACGUCCGUUGACCCGUUUGUGUCCCCCCGGAUCUGCAUGUUUUUGUUGGAAGGUGUAAUAUCCAUUUUGGUCCUCCAUUGUCUGUCAGACGUGUGAUUUGGUCCUUAGUUCAGAUUUAAUUAAUAGAAUUUGAUUCUAAUUUAAUUUUAAUUUAGUCUGUUUCACUUAUUUGGAUAUUUUGUGUGUGUACAUUUGGCAAAAAAAGGAAAGCCUCUAAUUUUGUUCUCAACUGUCUCCACCAAAUCAAAUCGCAUGAAAUGACUCGUGCGAUCUAAUGCUCGAGACAUUAUGAAAAAGUACCAAGAAAUCAAGAGCGAAUAUGAGGACGACAAAUUAACAGAAGAUGAGGUGAAGCGGAGAUUACUCGAAUUAACAGAGAAGCUUAAGAAACUAGAACAACAAUGAUCAAAAGAGGUACAUCAAUGUUUGAAACUCAAAGAAAAUGCUAAGUUUGAUUUCAAGAUCUUAAACUUGUGGUUUUUUGAGGAAUUGGAUAAAGUAAGGGAUUGUCUAAAAUAUGGUAUAUGCACAUGCACACUUCUUAUUGAUAUUAACCUAUAUAACCCCUUUGGCUAGAUGGGAAAAUUUUCUUUUAGGCCCUCAUAAAUUAAAACAUUAAAUCCAAGUCUUUUUACCCUUUUAAUUAAAUGGAAUAAUUGCCUUUUUGGCCCUAUGAAAAGUUAAUAAUUUAAUCUAAGCUUAUUUUGGAUUUGAUUUUUUUUAAUAGUGUUAACAGAUAAAUCUAAAUUUUCAAUGAUUUGAUUUUUUUUUUCACACCUUGUUUGAUAAUCCAAAAUAGAAACAAUCUAAUAGAAUCUUUUAUACAAAAAACAAAAAAAGUGUGAAACAUUAUAAAUAAGUAAGAGCUAUUUAUCCCUUAAUAGAGGAUAUUUCCAAUUAAUUUUAUUUUAUUUUAUUUAUUAUAAUAUUAUAUUAUGCUAUAAAACUUUAGGUUUAAAAUUUGACUUUUCUUUAGAUUAAGGUGAAAUAUUUAAAAAUUGAGGAUAAAAUUUAGAAUAUAAUUUUUUAUAAUUUAAUAUUUAUAUUUAUCAAACAAUCUAAUUAUAUUCUAUAAUUAAUUUUAAGUAGAAUAUAAAAUAGAUUUUACAACUUAAAUUUUCAAUACCUAUUUUUUCAACACUUAUUUUUUUUUAAUACUUAAUUUUUAAGUUUAUCGAAUAAUAUCUAAAUUCCUAAAAUUAGAAGUAGCAUGACUAGAUUUUAAGUUUACAAAAAAUACAUCUACUUAUGAAAAUACUCAAAAAUCUAAGAUAGUUAGGUAACUAAAAAAAAUAGACAAAGUAGUCAUUUUAUGUUAAACCAAAGAAUAAAUCGGUUCUUCUGUUAAAAGUUCCAUUCAUUUCUACUUUUAAAAUUUAAUUCAUGUACAUCAAUAUGAAGUACACAUGACAUAUCAUGUGUCACUAUUUGAUUAUUCUAUCAGCCAUGCCAACUUUUAACAAUAGAAAUGGACGAAAUUUUUAACAGAAUUGAUCAAUUUACUCAUUAAUCUAAUGCACAGAGACUAAUUUACCUAUUUUUUUAGUAGAGUAGGAAAAAUACAAUCUAACACUUAAUAUGAGGACCUCCAUAGUCAUUUGACCAAUAAAAACAAUGUUUAACCUUGUGCACUAGCAAAAGGACAAUUUCUACUAUUUUAUUAUAGAUUACUUGAGCAGGGGUAUGUUCAACUAUUUUUCAAAUUUUCUCUUAUGUUCUGAGGAAGCUGGUCAUAUCAUAAAUGUAUAUCUAAAUAUGUGUCGGCACAUGUGGCCAAAACUUCCUAAAUCAGGUUGAUUAUAAAGUAAAAAUUCGAAGGUUAAAAUAAGUUUUAAGUCGAUACAUAUUUUGCAUAUUUAGAAUUUAGUCUUCUUAAUUUUACUUUCAAAAGUAAAGUUCUCUACUUUUCAAGUUUAAAAAUUUAAUUAUUGUAAUCGUUGAAAUUUUUUGGUAUGAAAUUUUAAAAUAAAAAAAUUACUCAUGGGCGUCGAAACCACCAAAUAUAAAUUUCCACGGCAAAUAUAACAGUAAAUUAAAAUAUAGAGCAGUAGGGUUGAAUCCACAGUGACCUAAUUUUGCCUUUUCUUAUGACCAGAUUCGCUGUUGCGGUCAUAGUCAUGCCCAAAUUUGAUGCGUAGUAGUGCUGAAAAAAAAAUAAGAGGUUUAAAUUGAUUAAGAUAAUAAAAUAAGGAAAUAUGAAGUGUAAUAAAAUAAAACAAAAACAAAUUUGAAAAUGCAAAAAUAAUUUAAGAAAAUAAAAUAAAUUGGUAAAUGAAAUAUUUUUAAGCUUAGCCUUAGCCACGCCAAUUUGUUCGAGGGAUUUUGAAUACAACAACACGGACUCAACUUUCCAACUGUACGCCAAAAGAUUCCAACCCAACGCGAGCGCGCUUUUUGAGUUUAAAUUAAAUCAAUUUUAAGGGACGAAUUUGUACUAUCCCAUAUACUGGAGAGAUAGCGAAUAUCGAAUUGAAAGGUUCUUUUAGUAGGUUUGCAUUUCAUGAUUGUUUUGUUGGAGUAAUUUUAGAGCUAAAGCUAAAAAGGAUUUAAUUAAUAAUGGAAAGAAUAAUGCUUGAAAAUAAAUGGUUUAAAUGGAAUUUUGGAAAGUAUAAAGGCAAUGCCUUAAAAGGCAAUUAAAUCAAAAGGUUGAAAUCAAAAGGGCAAAAAAAAAAAAAAGAAACUGCAAAAUUGAAUGGCAAAGAGGCAGAAGAGGAAAAAAAUAGAGAAUUUAUUAAAUGCUAAAGGUAAAGUGUAUUUGAUUGGUUGUAACUAUUAGGUAUUUAUAUAGAUUUUUAGUGCUAAAAUUUAGCUAGAUUUUUUUUUAAAUAUUAUCACUAGAUAUUAUUACUAAAUAAUUCGAAAUUUAAAAAUCAAAUUUAAACUAGAAUUUAAACUAAUUACAGAGUUGUAACAAUAUAAAAAAUCAUUCAAUCUUUAUCCAGUCACUUUUAAAAACAAAAAUCUUCAACCCUUCAAUAUUUAUUCAAUCAUCUUUGAAUCUUCAAUCUUUCAAUCAAGCCCUCCUCUUUGCUUUUUGUUCCAAUUUAGCCAUUUUUUUGUAAGCGCUUGAAUUCAGCACACUAACUUCAUUCCUGAUAAGAAAAAUCUAAAUUUAAUAGCAUUUUAUUUGAUAAUUAGCCAAAAAUAAAUAUAUUAAAAAUACGAAUUUAUCUUGCUAUCAAUUUUUUUAUCAAGCAUUAAAUAAUUAAUGGAAAAUUAAUGUAAUAACUUUUAAAAUUAAUAUAAUAGUAACUUUAACCUUUUAAUAUUUUUAUAUUAUAUCAAAUUAGUCUUGAUUCUAAAAAAUCUAAUUCUCAAUAUUCAUACAUCAUGUAAUUUGAUCUUUUUUACAUAUUUGUUUUCGUUGUGACACUUUCACCUAAAAAGUUUAAAAAAAAUAAAUUCAUCAACUAAAUUUGAUUGAAAAUAUAUUAAAAAUGAAACCCAAAAAUCAAAUAUAAUAAUUUCCAUAUUUUCUCAUUGUAUUAAAUUUAACCCUCCACGUCACAAAAAAAUGCAAAAGAAAAACUAAAUUACAUAAUGUAUAAAUAUUGAGAGUUAAAGUUUCUAUUAUACCAAUUUUAGAAGCUGUCAAGUUAACCUCCCGUUAGUAGUUUAAAGACCGGUAACUAAACAAGAAAUAAUUGAAUAGUUAAAUAAUUAUUUUGUAUCUUUACAUAAUUAGGUGACUAAGAAAAACUUAUCAAUAAUUAAGUGAAGAGUAGUUAAAUUUGACCUUUAAUAACGAUACCAACCCUAAUAAUACAAUGAAAGUGAUUACACAGAGGGGAGGACUACCGACAUAAAAAUAAUGCAUUGUAUCAAGGAGAGCUGUUUCCAGCUUUUUUGGGUCACUUCAUAGUAUCCAAUGACCCACUUGCAUUCUUCUAUAAUUAGACCCCCUCCAAUGAAUACUGUUCAGCAAGUAGGCGACCUUUUCUCUCCUCUUAAAACGCCUAAGUCAGCCUAACUUGAACCAAAAAGGAUUCAACAGAAUUCCCUUAAGAUUUUUACGAAGAACAACAGAAGAACGAAGUAAGAACGAGCCUUGAAAGAUGAACAAAAGCAAGAACACUUGAGAGAAAAGUUUGAGUGAAUACUUCUCAAAAUUCUUAUUAACAACUCAAUGAAUUACAAUGAGUAAAGAGGUCUCUAUUUAUAGUUGAGCCUCAAAGUGCAUCAAAGGCUACAAUUAAAAGCUGUAUACAAUUAGAACUUUAAGACAUAAUUAGAAGCUAUAUACAAUUAGAACUCUAAGAUUAAAUAAUCAUAUCUUCUUGGGUCCCUUCCCUUAUUUAUCAGGCUCUUGGGAUGGGCUUUUAAUCUCUUCAAGCAACGGGCCAGUUUGGUUGGGCCAAAUGACCUCCUUCAAAUACGAUGGAUCGCACAAGUUCGUCAUGGUUGCGUGUUCCCAUGCGCAACCCAUGACAUUUUCCCCCACUUGUUCUAGCGACGCCCUCGUCGCAUCUUCCUUAUGGAACUGGUCAAUCUUCCCUUGGAACUGCCAUAAUGCCUCAGCAGGUUCCCAACUUGCUUCACUAUCAGGAAGUCCCUUCCUUCGAACUAAGUACUCAUGCCGUGGUCGGUGGUACUUUUGUCUAAUUACCCGAUCUCCUUCAAUGUUUUCAACUUUACGAUCAUACGACACCUUUACCCCCAUCGGUGCUCGUUCGGAGUUGCCUCGAUUUGGAUCCUCUUGAUCCCUAUGAAAGGGCUUAAGCAUGCUUACAUGGAAGACUGGGUGGACUUUAAAUUUUGCUGGCAACUCAAGCUUGUAGGCCACAUUGCCUACUCUCUUCACAACUUUGAAGGGCCCCUCAUACCUUCGCACAAGACCCUUGUGCAAGCCAGUAUAUCGCAGAAUCAAGUGUAGUUUAGCGAGGACUGAGUCACCCACUUGAAACUGCACAUCCCUUCGUUUUUGAUCAGCCCACUUCUUGUUACGCUUACUUGCCUUGUGUAAACAAGCUCUAGCCAAGUCAUUCUUCUCUUGCCAAUCUUUUGCGAAACGAUAGGCUGCCGGAUUUGGUCCUGUAUAAUGGGUCACAACAGCGUUGGGUGUGAGUGGCUGUUGACCCGUCACUAUUUCAAAUGGACUUUGAUUCGUGGCCCCACUUCGCUACAAGUUGUAUGAAAAUUGGGCGACAUCCAACAACUUUGGCCAAUCUCUUUGUGUGGCACUUACGUAGUGUCGAAGAUAUGUCUCCAACAAUGCAUUUACUCUUUCAGUUUGUCCAUCGGUUUGUGGAUGCAUGCUCGUGGAGAAGUUCAAGUCUGAUCCCAUUGACUUGAACAACUCCGUCCAAAACCGGCCUGUAAAUCGUCCAUCUCGAUCACUGAUAAUAGACAGUGGCACUCCCCAAUAUUUCACCACGUGUCUAAGGAACAAUCGAGCUGCUUCCUCAGCGGGGCACUCCUUGGUCGCUGGAAUAAAAGUCGCAUACUUUGAGAACCUGUCCACCACAACAAGAAUACUCCCAAACCCGUCAGACUUAGGCAAACCAAUAAUAAAAUCCAUGGAUAAACUCUCCCAUGGCCUUUCCGGAACUGGCAAGGGUUGAAGCAAACCGGCUGGAGUCUUUAACUUAACCUUAUCUUGUUGGCAUACUAGACAAGUUUUUACAUAGGUUUCCACAUCAGCACUCAUGUUAGGCCAGUAAUAACGUUCCUCCAAAAGGGCCAAAGUGCGAUGCAUCCCUGGGUGGCCUGCCCAUUUCGAGUCAUGACACUCCUUCAUGACUUCCUUACGGAGUUUCCCAUAAUGGGGCACAUAAAGGCGGUGUCCAUGAGUGUAUACUAGCUCCCCAUCAAGCCAAAAUCUUCUUGUUUUUCCCUCCUUGGCAAGCUCAAUCAAAUUUUUGGCCGUGGGAUCAUGGGACAAUCCCUCUCGAAUGCGUUCCAACAAAGAGCCAUCAGGUUGACUGAUUGCUGCGAAUUCCAUCUUUCGACUAAGUGCAUCAGCCACAUUGUUGGCACUUCCUAGUUUGUAUUCCAUUGUGAAAUCAAACUCUGCUAGUAGAACCUGCCAACGAGCCUGCUUGGGAGACAACUUUUUCUGGGUUAGAAAGUAACUAUUGGCAACAUUAUCGGUAAGGACCACGAACCUGGAACCCAAUAAAUAAUGCCUCCAUGUGCGCAAGCAGUGUACUACCGCAGUCAUCUCUUUCUCUUGGACCGUAUAUCUACGUUCCGUCUCAUUAAGCUUUCGACUCUCGAAAGCAAUUGGGUGUCCAUCUUGCAUCAGUACUCCCCCAAUAGCAUAAUCUGAUGCAUCCGUACAUACCUCAUAUGGCUUCGUAAAAUCUGGCAAGGCAAGUACGGGCUCCCUCGUCAUUUCUUGCUUCAAUUGGUUUAAGGCCUUCUCACAUUCUGGAUUCCAAUCCCAUACCUUCCCCUUCUUCAACAUGUCCGUCAAGGGGGUGGUAAUUUUGGAGUAGCCUUCGACAAAGCGACGAUAGUAAUUUGCCAAUCCAAGGAAAGAUCUCAACUCUGUUACCUUGGUUGGAGGCCCCACUCUGAAAUGGCUCGAAUCUUAUUCUUAUCCAUUCGGAUCUUACCUUCUCCCACAAUGUGGCCUAAGAAUGACACCUCUUGUUGGGCAAAUGAGCAUUUCUCCUCCUUGACGAACAACUCAUUUUCCCUCAAAGUCCGGAACACCUCCCUCAAGUGUCUUAUGUGCUCUUCAAGCGACUUGCUAUACACCACAAUAUCGUCAAGGUAAACAACCACGAAACGAUCAAGAAAAGGUUGAAGUACCUUAUUCAUUAGGGUGCAGAAUGUAGCUGGAGCAUUCGUGAGUCCGAAAGGCAUCACAAGGAACUCAUACGAACCGUACCGUGUCACACAAGCUGUCUUUGGUUCGUCCCCCUCGGCUAUCCGAACUUGAUGAUACCCCGAUCUCAAAUCUAACUUGGUAAACCAUCUUGCCCUACCAAGCUGAUCGAACAAAUCUGCAAUAAGAGGAAUAGGGUACCUAUUCUUCACAGUGAUCUUGUUUAGAUCUCGAUAAUCGAUACACAUUCUCAAGGACCCAUCGUGUUUCUUUUGGAACAACACUCGCGCACCAUAUGGGGAUUUAGAUGGUCUAAUGAAUCCCGCAUCCAUAAGUUCCUUCAAUUGCUUCCGCAACUCUUCUAAUUCUGGCGGAGACAUACGAUAGGGGGCCCUUGCUGGCGGCACCACAUUGGACGCUAACUCGAUUUUGUGGUCCACCUCCCUCUUGGGUGGCAAACAUUUAGGCAACUGAGUAGGCAUUACAUCUCGGAAUGAUUGCAACAAUUGUCCCACUUCUUUCGGGGUCUCACUAACAGACUCAGCGGUCUCUUCGAUCCUCAAUGUGGCUAAAUAUGAGACUUCAUUUCGCCGUAUACCUUUAGCAAACUGAAUUGCUGACAGUGUUUUUCCCUCAAAGCUUCUCUUCCUUGUCACUUUCACCAUGCAUUGAUGUUUCGCGUCUGAAAUCACCAUGUAAUUGCUUGAAGGGGCAAUAAGAGCAUUAACCUGAUCAAGGAAGCUUAGUCCAACCACAAAGUCAUAGUCAUCCAGUGGUAUUACCUUAAUGGAUACCUUCCCUGACCAAUUUCCGAGCUGAAGAUCCACUCCCUUUGCAACCCCCUUGAUUGGAACACUUUCUGAGUUAACUGUUUUGAUCCGACCCACUUCAUUAUCUAUCUUGAGGCCUAGUUUACAAGCAGCCUCCUCAGACAUGAAUAAAUCAGAAGCGCCUGUGUCAACGAGCGCAUUCAAUUUUCUGCCGGCCACAAUGAUGUCUACAAACAUCAAACCAUGGCACAUUCUAUCUUCGACACCCCCUAGUAUCGAUCCAAGGUUGUUAUCCUCCACAUCGGACUCCCCCUUUGCUUCCAUAGCCUUGAGAGUGGCCUUCUUUCGACAGUCCUUGAUCAUAUGUGGACCCUCACAGUGGAAACACCUUAUAGGCCCACUCUUUCUCUUGUCCCAAGGCUUCUUACCGUCGCCGUUCCUAGUGGGCCUUUCUUUAUCUUCCCCACUAUUACCCUUUAAUCUGGGUUUAGAAGAAUUGGAAUUGUCUUUCUUCCCACCAAAUUCAGCAAGUGAUUCUGCUACUGACAUAGCCUUGGUGAGUUCUUGAACUCCUCGGCGUUGCAACUCUUGCUUUGCCCACGGUUUUAAUCCGUCCAUAAAGGAAAAGAAUGCCUCUUUCUCCCCCAUAUCUGAGAUUUGGAGCAUAAGUUCGCUAAACUCCUGCACAUACUCCCUCACAGUGCCUUGUUGUGCAAGCCGACGCAACUUUGCCCGAGCCUCAUCCUCGGCAUACUCUGGGUAAAACUGUGCUUUGAACUCACAUNNNNNNNNNNNNNNNNNNNNNNNNNNNNNNNNNNNNNNNNNNNNNNNNNNNNNNNNNNNNNNNNNNNNNNNNNNNNNNNNNNNNNNNNNNNNNNNNNNNNCACAUCAGUGGACCUACGACGCCACCACAACAAAGCAACGUCAGAUAAAUACAUUGCAGCAGUAGUUACCUUAGUGACAUCCUCCGUGAUGCCUUUGGCACAGAAGUAUUGCUCGAUUCCCCACAAAAAGUUUUCCACAUCUCUUGCGGACCUUGUUUCCUUAAACUCCUUGGGCUUGGGAACAUCAAUAUUGGGCUUAGGUGCGGCAGCCGCUAACCCACCAUUGCCCAAGGCAACCUUGUAGAUUGUGAGUUCACCCUUGAGCUCCGCAAUCUCUCCCUUCAAGGCCACCACCAUAGCCUCAAUGGCAUCAUCUCUGCCAGUCAACUGUUUCAUAUUAUCCGUCACAUACUCUUUGAGCUGCUCCUGUAUGGACUGCAAUCCAUCAUGGAGCCUAUCAUCGACAUCUUCAACUCUCUCCUUGAUAUCCCCCAUGGAACUCUCGAGAAUGAGGACGCGAUCCUCUAAAGCUGACAAUAUGUCCCUUGAGCGACUAGCUUUCCUAGCCCUCCCACGGGUCUCCAUUCCCUCAACUUCUUUUGACAUCUUUCAACGGUGGCUUCGAACCUUAGCUCGGAUACCAACUGUCACGGACUUAGAGUUUUCCCACGCGAUCCGUACGGCCUUAGGAAGUUUUUCUGCUUAAAACGCCUAAGUCAGCCUAACUUGAACCAAAAAGGAUUCAACAGAAUUCCCUUAAGAUUUUUACGAAGAACAACAGAAGAACGAAGUAAGAACGAGCCUUGAAAGAUGAACAAAAGCAAGAACACUUGAGAGAAAAGUUUGAGUGAAUACUUGUCAAAAUUCUUAUUAACAACUCAAUGAAUUACAAUGAGUAAAGAGGUCUCUAUUUAUAGUUGAGCCUCAAAGUGCAUCAAAGGCUACAAUUAAAAGCUGUAUACAAUUAGAACUCUAAGACAUAAUUAGAAGCUAUAUACAAUUAGAACUCUAAGAUUAAAUAAUCAUAUCUUCUUGGGUCCCUUCCCUUAUUUAUCAGGCUCUUGGGAUGGGCUUUUAAUCUCUUCAGGCAACGGGCCAGUUUGGUUGGGCCAAAUGACCUCCUUCAAAUACGAUGGAUCGCACAAGUUCGUCAUGGUUGCGUGUUCCCAUGCGCAACCCAUGACACUAGGUACUACUAGGUUUACUUAUUCAUUAUCUCUCUUGCUUUGAUUUUCCUGAAUUUCUUGAGAAAAUUCUGUUUCAUAUAAUUUUGCUUCAAUGAUUUGCUUCUUCUUAAUUUAUAUCUGAAUAUUCGAUUGUAUUGUUUUUUUUAUUCAACGAUUUCUUCUGAUCCAAGUUAAAAUUUUCACAGAUCUGUGCAAGAUGAGCAACGGUGACAGUCAUUGGAACGACGAAGAUUGGAGUCUAAUUUUGCCUUUUCUUGUGACCAGAUUCGUUGUCGCGGUCAUAGUCAUGCUCAAAUUUGAUGGGUAGUAGUGCUGAAAAAAAAAGAAGUAAAAAUGGAAGGUUUAAAUUGAUUAAGAUAAUAAAAUAAGGAAAUAUGAAGUGUAAUAAAAUAAAAUAAAACAAAUGCAAAAAAAAUUUAAGAAAAUAAAAUAAAUUGGUAAAUAAAAUAUUUUUAAGCUUAGCCUUAGCCUCGGUGUACUCCAAUAUUGAAUCGAUCAUUGAAACAAAAUUUCACUUCCAAGCGAUAAGCUGGUUAUAGCAAUCGAGGAUCCUUCAAACCACCAACUCUUCCUUUCAUAGUCGAUCCUAGUAUCACUUGCAAAUCGACCCUUGUCAAAUUUCCAACCACAUGACACAUACCUAUAAUAUAUAUGGUAUGCAUAUUUCUUAUCAUUCAUAUUAACCAAUAUAACAAAGUCUAUCAUUUAAUCAUUUAACUUUAAAAUGUUAUAAAAUGAUCAUUGUACUAUUUGAAAGUUUUCAUUUAAGUCAUUAGAUUGUUAAAAUCGUCACUAUAUCGCUUUCUCUAUUUACACCGCCAACACCAAUCAAAAAUUUUCCUUCCCAUUUUCUUCUAAAAAUUUUAACCGUUAACCGAACCGAUUUUUUUUUUAAAAAAUUUAACCGAACCGAAAUUUUUUCGGUUAAUAAGGUCGGUUAACCGAAUUAACCGAAAAUUAUGUAUUUUUUAUUUUUGGUUAAAAAUUACCCGAAUUACCCGAAUUACCCGAAUUACCCGAAUUACCCGAAUUAACCGAAUUACCCGAAUUAAUCGAAUUACCGAAAAAUACCCGAAUUACCCGAAUUUUUUUAUUUUUUAUUUUUAAAAUUUAAAAAAUUUAUAAAUUAUUAAAGUAAAUUGGGUUUUAGACUUUAGUAAAUUGGGUUGUCUUUUAGUUUUAGUUUUAUUGGAUUGGGUAAUUGGGUAAACUUUAGUUUUAGUUUUAUUGGGUUGGGUAAUUGAGUUUGGGUUGGGUUGGAUAAUUUUAUUUAUUAAUUUUUUCGGUUAACAGAAAAUUUUCGGUUAACCGACCGGUUUCGAACCGAAUUAACCGUUAACCGAAAAAUCAUAAAAAAAUUAACCGACCUCCGACCGAAAAAAUUCGGUUAACCGACCGAUUAACCGAAUUCGGUCGGUUAACCGAAUUCGGUCGGUUAACCGAAUUUUUUCGGUUUUACCCGAAUUAUGCACACCCCUACAUGAGUGGCCCAUACAGUACAGUCUGUUGCCAAAGACAUUAUAAAAAAGUACCGAGAAAACAAGAGUGAGUACGAGGAUGACAAAUUAAAAGAAGAUAAGGCGAAGCCGAGAUUACUCGAAUUAAUAGAGAAGCUUACGAAACUAGAACAACAACGAUCAAAAGAGGUACAUCAAUGUUUGAAACUCAAAGAAAAUGCUAAGUUUGAUUUCAAGAUCUUAAAUUUUUGGUUUUUUCAGGGCUUGGAUAAAGUAAGGGAACUUGAUCCAACCCUUGUUAAAAAUAUAGUACAUGCACACUUUUUAUUGAUAUUAACCAAUAUAGUCCCCUUGGCUAGAUGGGAAAACUUUCUUGUAGGCCCUCUCAUAAAUUAAAACAUUAAAUUUAAGUCUUUUUAGCCUUUUAAUUAAAUGGAAUAGUUGUCUUUUUGGCCCUAUGAAAAGUUAAUAAUUUAAUCUAAGCUUUUUUAACACAAUUUUUUUAGCAUUGGUCCUUCUAAAAUUUUAUAAUUUUAUCUCACUCUCCUCCCCCUUAACAAAAUUUCUAGCUUCGUCCCUACUUGUUUACAUCUUGAUCACAUACAUACAUACAUACAUACAUACAUACAUACAUACAUACAUACAUACAUACAUACAUACAUACAUACAUACAUACAUACAUUUAUUCUUACCCAAGAUUGGCCCGAGCUGAAAUAUGAACUUAAAUUUUUGUCCAAGUCUACCAAUAUUUUAAACAAACUUAAUUUUUAUUACCCAAACCCUCCUGAAUUCUGAGUAGUUAACCCGACCCAUGAAGUUAAUGACCAGUAACAAUUUCUCCAAAUAGCAAUUGACAACUUGAAUUCCGAAAAUAGUAUAACUUCUAAAUGUAAUUAUUUUCCAAAUCUAAGAAUUUAUUGAAUGGUUGUUUAGUAAUGGAUUUGAGAUUUCAUGUUUUUUUUUUAAAGGAUGAAGAAUUAGUAUUACAACUAAACUUAUUGAUUUGAAGAAUCAAGUUUAUGACAAAAACAACAACAACAAAGUGGAGUUCAAAGAUUUCCAAGGCUUAGAACAAGCAUUAAACAACACUGCUCGGGGGGAAAUUCCGGACUACCUCGAACCUAUUGCAAUAUGUAUCGAAAAUGUUAGAAGAAAAAAAAAACUACUAAGAUAUUCGAAAUCGAAACUCAAAUUCUGGUUGCAAAAUUAAAUUACCGAAACGUAAAUUUACUAAUAGACAUAAAAGAUAAGCAUAGAUAACAGCUGUUUGAUAUUGAGUUUGCUGAGAUGGAGAGUGUCUAGGCAGGUGCAGAGCCAGCACCAACCCCCUAAAAUGGAAAUUUUAACUUUUAGCCCCUUUAUAAUUUAUAAGAAUUUAUAAUAAUAUAUGAUAAAAUUAUAUUUUGGUCUAAUUAAAGUUUGAUUUAAUCAUUUAAAAAUUAUAAAUAUAUAAACUAUUAAUAUAGUAAUAUUAUAUUUUUGUUAUCGUAAAAAUAUACAAUUUAAUUAUACUUCCUCUCAAAAAAAAAUUAACGUGUCUAAGAGUGAUGUAUUCGAAAAUGGCAUGAAGUUAGUAACAGUAACUAGGGUUCAAGUAAUCAGAUGGGAAGCAAAAGGUGAGAAAAAAACUAAAAAUGAUUGUUUGGAGUCCUUCACCUUUGGGUUAUGUCAAUAUCUAACACAUUGGUUCGGUCUAUAUAGCAGUUGCUUCAUCGAGACUGAGAGAUACGCAUUAUGCACACUUACAAAGAGGGAAAUCGCAUUGCGGAUGCAAUGGCGAUGUUGGCAAGAUACAAGAGCCUGGAAUCUCACCAUUUCAAUGUAUCCCAGAUGAGAUUUUACAAGUUUUGCAUUAUGAUGUUUCUGGUUCAGCAUAGAGGUGGUAAUCAAGGUAGUUUGAUUCGGGUUAUUUUGCGUUAAUUUUUUUAAUAAUAUUAACAGUUGAAUCUAAAUAUAUUUUAAAUAGAAUAUAUUUUUUUGAUGAUUUAAAAUUUAUAUUUAUCAAACAAUUUAAUAAUAUUUCAUAAUUAAUUUUAAGUAGAAUAUUAAACAUAUUUUAUAAUUUAUAUACAAUACUUAUUUUUUCAACACUUAUUUUGUCAAUUUAUCGAACAACACUUACCUUCCUAAAAAUAAAAAUAUAAUAUCUAAAUUUUAAAUUUACGAAAAAUACAAAUAUUUGUGAUCACAUUUAAGAAGAAAUCCAUUAACAAAAAGCAUAAAAACAGCCGUUAGCGGGGAAGUUGGAAACCACUAUGGCGAGGAAAGUUCAUCAAUUGUACUUUAGUCAGCAUGAUUCCGGAUUUCACGUGUCGGGAUGCGAACGUGCAGCCAUAAGAUUCCAUUUUGAAGGGAGGAUACCGGAAAGAGAAUAAUACGAUCAAUUGGAUUCCGAAUAGAAACGGGUCUAGAAACAAAAAAAAAAAAAAGUAAGGGUAAAUUACAUUAAUGUCACUCAACUAUUAGUAAAUUUAAUUUUGGUCACAUAACUAUGAAAAAUUAUAAAAUAAUUACCCAACUAUUUAAUUUUUUUUGGUCAUUGGUUAGCUAACGUGAAAAUAAAAAUACCAAAAAAUCCAAGAUAGUUGGGUGACUAAAAAUAGACAAAUUAGUCAUUGUACGCUAGAUUAAAAAGAAAAUUGAUUCUUUCAUUAAAAAUUUCAUUUAUUUCUACUGCUAAAAAUUAGUUCAUGUAUGUCAACAUGAGGUACACAUGGUAUGUCAUGAGUCAUUGUUUGGUUAUUUUGUCAACCAUGCCAAUUUUUAACAGUAGAAAUGGAUAAAAUUUCUAACAAAAAUGAUCAGUUUAAAAAUUCAGGUUUAGUUGUGACCGUCGUUGAAAUUAUUCUAUUAAAUUCUUUGAUAUGAAAUUUUAAAAUUUAAAAAAAUCACUUAAUAAUGUCAUGUAACAAUAAAAAUAACUUUAAAAAUACUUACUAGGAUUUUUUUAAAAACACCCAUUCAAGUUGUCAUGAUCAAAUAUUCUUUUCUGUCGUAAUAUUAUUUUUAGGAAAAAUUGAUGACAACAUUUUAACUGAAAUAAUUAACAGUAAGGUAAAAGUAUCACAGAGGCCUUUGUAAUAGGAAUCAGAUUGCAUUUUGCUCCAUCUACUAAAAAAUGGCAAAUUAGUCCACAUAAGUUAAAUUAAAGAGUAAAUUGGUCUUUCUAUUAAAAAUGCCAUUUAUUUCUACUAUUAAAAACUAGUCUUUGCAUGUCAGCAAGAGGUUCAUGUGGCAUGCCACAAGUUACUAUUUGAUUAUUCUGUCAGUUAUGUCAAUUUUUAACAGUAAUAAUGAAUAAAUUUUUUAAUAGAAAUGAACAGUUUACUAAUGGCGAACCUUGGGACUAAGUUUCAAGGUGGCAAAGUAAAACUUUAAAAAAAUAGUUGUUAGCCAAGAUUUCGAAAACCACAGUGCCAAAGAAAGUUUAUUAGCUUUUUCAUGCAUGAAUUUUUCCUCGAUUUAAUUAUUGAUAAUUUUUUUGUUACUCAACUAUGAAAAAUUAUAAAAUGAUCACUUAGUUAUUUGAUGUUGUUGCUUUUUUUGUCACUAGUCCUUAAAUAGUUAACAGAAGAUUGAUGUGGCAACUUUUAAAAUUAACAUAAUAGUAACUUUAAUCUUAAAUAUUUAUACAUUAUUUCAAUUUAGUCUUAAUUCUAGAAAAUCUAACCCUCAACAUUUACACAUUAUAUAAUUUGGUGUUUUUUUAUAGUUUUUCUUUUCUUUGCGACCUCUUUCACCUAAAAAGUUUAAAAAAAAAUUAUCAACUAAAUUUGAUUGAAAAUAUACAAAAAAAACACUAAAAAAUCCAAUAUAAUAAAUUUCAUAUUUUCUCAUUGUUUUAAAUUUAACCCUCAAUGUCACAAAGAAAAGUAAAAUUGCAAAAAAUACCAAAUUAAACAAUAUAUAAAUGUUUAAGGUUAAUUUUUUUUAGAAUAAAGACACAAUGUAUAAAUGUUGAGAGUUAAAGUUUCUAUUAUACCAAUUUUAGUAGCUGCCAAGUUAACUUUCCGUUAGUAAAUUAACGGCCGGUGAUCAAAAAAGAAAAAAUCAAAUAGUUAAAUGAUCAUUUUGUAUCUUUUACAUAAUUAGAUGACUAAAAAUAACUUAUCAAGAGUUGAGUGACUCCUAAUGAAAUUUACCCUUUAAUAACGAUACCGGACCUAAUAAUACAAUAAAAAUGAUUCCCCAGAGGGGGGAUCAAACAGAGUGGGGGCCGUUUUCCUUCCCUGUUUCCAGCUUUUUUUGUCACUUUAUUUGAAGAAAAAACAAAAGCAGACAUAGUAUCCAAUGACCCACUUGGCCUUCUUAUAUAAUUCGUCCCCCACCAAUGAGUAAUCUUCGGCAAGCAGGCGACACACACUCUCUUCUUCUCUAACAGUAAGUACUACUAAGUUUACGUGUUCAUUAUCAUCUCUUGCUUUGAUUUUCUUGGAUUUCUUGAGAAGAUUUUGUUUCAUAUAAUUUUGCUUCAAUGAUUUGCUGCUUCUUAAUUUAUAUCUGAAUUUUCGAUUUUUUUUUAUUCAACGAUUUCUUCUGAUCCAAGUUAAAAAUUUUCCCAGAUCUGUGCAAGGAUGAGCAACGAUUACAGCUUUUUGAAUGACGAAGUUUGGAGUCUCCUCAAUAAUCUCGAUGAUUCGAUAUCCGAGGUCGCGAACGGACCACCAUUGUUGUUAGAAGAGUUCAACCUGUCGAUGUCGAGUGGAAGCAAAAAAAGAAACCGUGAUUUAGAUCCCGGUAACUCACAAGAAGCUAAUGGAAAAGUCAGGAAGAAACAACGCCGGUGUCCGGGAACCUUUUAUGCCGGUGAAUCGUCAACUUCCCGGCAACAAGAAUGUUUGAAAGGGAAAACCGUGGCGGGAAUGGCGAAGGUUUACAAGGAUCGAAUUAGCAGCCGGAUAAAGAACGUAAGUCUGUUAAAUAAAUUCACAUUAUUAUUAUUAUGGGAAAAUUCCACAAAAGGUCACUAAACUAUUAGUUAAUAUAUCUUUUGGUCACUUAACUCCAAAAACUUACAAAAUGGUCAAUGAACUAUUUGAAAGUUAUCAUUUAAGUCAUUGGAGUGUUAAAAUCAACACUUGUACCAACCAGAAUCUCUCAUUUCCUUUCUCUUUUACAGUUUAGUUUUUUUUAUGAAAUGACUUUGAAAAUUACAAAUCUGUUAACCAAAAUCUAAAUAGUUUUCUUUUUCUUCUCUAUUUUUCUACUCGUUUAUGAGUACUGAUUUGUCAUACUAGUCGUCAAAUCGUCGCUUAGAACUCGCUAGCUGACCUUUAAAAAAAACUUAACAUCCUAAUAACUUAAAUACAACUUUUGAAUAGUUUAGUAAGUUUACCCUAUUCUUAUUCACUUUAUAUAUAUUACGGGUAAAUUAGAAAAAAAAACUGUUUUUGAAAGUUAAUUAGGGAUUUAAGCAGUUUUUAUUUUCUAGGGAAAUAAACUAAAUUUGGAGAAAAACGUGUUUAAAUUUGGAGAGAAACAACAACGUGUUUAAAAAGGCCUGUUUUUUUAAACAACUUAACACAUUAGUUUUUUUUUUUUUUUUGGUUAGAUAGAUAGAUUUUAGUAUUUUGCCUUUGAAUUUCGGGUUGGAUUCUUUUUUACUCACAUCUUUAUUUUUUAUUUAAUGUUGUUUUAAUUUUUUUUUAAAAAUUUUAAUUAAUAAUUAAUUUUUUUAAAAUAAUAAAUUUGGGAAAAACAGCCUAAAUCCCUAAUUGACUUUUAAAAAGGGCCUUUCCUUUUUUCUAAUUUAACCUAUAUAAAGCAUCUAAUAAGGUAUUUUUUUUCCUAGGAGAAAAGGUGAGGAUGAUCUUCAUCUCGGAAGAGAAUAAUACUUUAUAAUAGAUGCAGUUUGAAAACCUUUGCAUCAACAAUACGUAUGAAUUGUCUCUUACCACUUGCUUUCUGUAUAUUUGGUAAAAUGAAGGACAAGAUAGCAGACAUGGAAGUUAUUAUAAGGAUAGUUUGUAACAUGGCGGCCAUUAAUGCGUCUCAUCUCUUAGCACGAGUUUUCGGCUCCCUCGAGCAAAUCAAAACGCAAUGGCCAAUUCGACCUGACCUCCAACACAUAAAGCAAAACAUUCAAGAAAUCGAGAGCAACUACAAGGACGACAGUUUAACCGAGGAGGCAAAACGAAGAUUAGCUGAAGUAGGAGAUGAGUUGGAGAGAUUAGAUCAAGAACGACUAAAGGUACGCUAAUUUUUACGAAUUUUUUAUUACUUAGUUUCUAUAAUAUUCCAAGUCUCCAAUAUAACUUUGUAGUUUGAUUUUCAGGAUUCAACAAAAGCAGGGAACCUUGAUGCAGUCUUUAUGGUAUGUAUAUUCAACAAAAGUUAUGUAUGUUACUCAAAUUUAAGUGUGAGUGUCAAAUAUAACUUCAUAUUCCACUCAUUUUGGAUGAUCAAAUUUAGUACUUUUAUCUAAAUAUAUAAAUCAAUAAUAUCUUUCCUCAUUACUAGACUUCUUUUCAGACCUAACAAAAAGUCAUUUUCAACUAUUUUACUUUAUUUCAGAUGUAUUGGAUGUGGGUUUGUAUCUAAUAAGGGUAUGUUUUUUUUCUUGUUGAAUCUUUCUAAGUAAUAUCUAUGUAUUUGAAACUAUAAACAUGAAAAAAAAUAAUGCAUAUCUUAAUUCAUCAAGUUAUUUGUUUUGAUUAUUUAUUUUCAUUUCUCUUAAAUUUCAGGAUUUUAGCAUGCGGACUCUACAAAAAGAGGUACAAUAUACAUACAUACAUAUGUGCAUGCAUAGAUUACAUAUGAUUCAUGUUUUAAAUAUAAUGAAUAUUAUAUAACAGAAUACAUAAAAAUGUAAAAUUAAAAUUCAUGUUGUUGUAUAUUUUUCAAAUACAUAUCACAUCAUUCUUAUAAAUUAUAACCUGUUUUUUUUUUUUUUAAAUUGUUCUAGCUUUCUUCAGCAUGUCUGUGGCUGAUGUCGAAGAAACUACAGCAACUAAUCAUCUUAUUAGUGUUGAUGAAGAUCAAGAUCAGCAUCAUGGAAGUUCGCUAACUCCUCAAGUGUUAUACUCUAAUUUUAGCUAUCUGAAAAACCAACCUUAUGACAAAAGGCAACUGUUAUGCCACCUUCAUAUCACCUACGACCGCGGCUCGCCACACCAUUGAGCACACUUUCAUCAUGAGCUGCCUCCACUAAAAGUGGUUGAGAUUCUUCAACUGUGCAAGUCACCUACAUUGUCAUGUCAUCAAUCUACAAGAUUACAUCACCGUCGCUAUAAAGAGAUAGGAUGUGACCCUACCGCCAACAAGAUACUUACACGUAACAUCACCUAUGUCUCAUAUAUAAACUUUCUCACCUACAAGGAGGGAUGAUCCUCACUCCCUCUCUCUCUUCUCUCUCUUAUUAUCCUUCAUCACAUUAUCACAACAGCUCUUCGCCUUUCAAGGGUGAAGCACCAGUCACCUCUGUCAACUCUUGCCGUUGUUGAUUCCUGAUAUCAACAACAAAUUGUAUAAUUCAAGUUUUCCUGCUUCUCUAAUCCUGCAUAGACUUUUGCAUUUAAAACAGUAAGUAUUGUUGAAUCUUCUUAAGCAAUAAGAUAUAUAUAUAUAUAUGUGUGUGUGUUUAGCUACAAUGCAUAUCUUACUUGACUAAGUUGUGGAGAGUCUAAGAAAGGAGGUAUGAUAUGCAUAUACAUAAAUACAUUUAUAUUUAUACAUUAUUGCAUUGCACAUUAGCUAGCUAUUUAACAUUUGAGAAUUUGGACUUCAAAAUAUGAUUUGGGUAUUAAAAAUAGUGCAUAUGUUAUGUGAUAGAAUACAUACAAAUGUAACAUUUAUGAUUUUUUUGUACUCAUGAAUUUAUUAAAUGCAUGGUAGUAAUGAAUUUGAAAUUCAUAUGUAAUCUUAUUAAAUAUCAACUAAUUUAUAUAAAAUCAUACCCACAUCAUUCUCAUAAAUAUGACUUGUUUUCUUUCUUCUUCUUUUUUUGUCUUGUUGCAGCUUUCUUCAACAUGGCCAUGGCUUAUUAGUGCUGCUCAAGUUCAAGAUCAUGGCAUGGUUCUGGAUGUUAUUUCUGCCCUUUGUUUUACUAGCUAGAGACAAGUUUCUUUGUCCAACUCGAUUAUAUUAUGAGCAUCCAAACUUUAUAUGCUAUUCAAUGAUCAAGUAUACAAUAAUGUAUUCUCAUAUUGAAGUAAACAACUUGUAUUGUUCUCAAGGGCAAAAAUUAGAAAACAAAUUUAGGGGAUGGAAUUAAAUUAUAAUUUUUACAAUAGUAAAAUUGUAAUUUUAUUAUUUUAAUAGUUUAUAUAUUUAUAAUUUUUAAAAGAUUAAAUCAAAUCUUUAUAUUUUGAGGGAAACCAAAAUAUAAUUUUACCUUUACUAAUUUUAAAUUUUAGAGGAUGCUAGCCUCUGUCAGCCUUAAUUGUUCUUAACAAAAUUUCCACCCUUACAUGACUUAAAAGGCAGAUUAAAUCCCACUAAAUUUUUAGAAAAAUGUUUGUUUUCAUACGUUGCAAGAACCUAAGGUACAAUAAUAUUAAUGUACUGAUCAUGAAAUAUAAUGUGGUGAUUGUUCAUCUAUUCUUUCAGCUAUGUUAUCAGAGGUUUAAUCUCCGCUCAUGUGAAUGGAAUAUAUUUUAUGUCUAGCUGUUUACCUCUCCAAAAAAAUACUCCGAACGAGUGAAUUAGUUACUACUACUUAUAAUAGAUAUCUUGGUUUUGAACAAAAAAUAAUAACAAUGGACCUGAGACGGUUAGGUCAGUUCAAGUGUAGCUAUUCGCUUUUAUUCAUAUUGUAUCGAAGAAAACUCUAUUUUAAGAAACGUGUNNNNNNNNNNNNNNNNNNNNNNNNNNNNNNNNNNNNNNNNNNNNNNNNNNNNNNNNNNNNNNNNNNNNNNNNNNNNNNNNNNNNNNNNNNNNNNNNNNNNNNNNNNNNNNNNNNNNNNNNNNNNNNNNNNNNNNNNNNNNNNNNNNNNNNNNNNNNNNNNNNNNNNNNNNNNNNNNNNNNNNNNNNNNNNNNNNNNNNNNNNNNNNNNNNNNNNNNNNNNNNNNNNNNNNNNNNNNNNNNNNNNNNNNNNNNNNNNNNNNNNNNNNNNNNNNNNNNNNNNNNNNNNNNNNNNNNNNNNNNNNNNNNNNNNNNNNNNNNNNNNNNNNNNNNNNNNNNNNNNNNNNNNNNNNNNNNNNNNNNNNNNNNNNNNNNNNNNNNNNNNNNNNNNNNNNNNNNNNNNNNNNNNNNNNNNNNNNNNNNNNNNNNNNNNNNNNNNNNNNNNNNNNNNNNNNNNNNNNNNNNNNNNNNNNNNNNNNNNNNNNNNNNNNNNNNNNNNNNNNNNNNNNNNNNNNNNNNNNNNNNNNNNNNNNNNNNNNNNNNNNNNNNNNNNNNNNNNNNNNNNNNNNNNNNNNNNNNNNNNNNNNNNNNNNNNNNNNNNNNNNNNNNNNNNNNNNNNNNNNNNNNNNNNNNNNNNNNNNNNNNNNNNNNNNNNNNNNNNNNNNNNNNNNNNNNNNNNNNNNNNNNNNNNNNNNNNNNNNNNNNNNNNNNNNNNNNNNNNNNNNNNNNNNNNNNNNNNNNNNNNNNNNNNNNNNNNNNNNNNNNNNNNNNNNNNNNNNNNNNNNNNNNNNNNNNNNNNNNNNNNNNNNNNNNNNNNNNNNNNNNNNNNNNNNNNNNNNNNNNNNNNNNNNNNNNNNNNNNNNNNNNNNNNNNNNNNNNNNNNNNNNNNNNNNNNNNNNNNNNNNNNNNNNNNNNNNNNNNNNNNNNNNNNNNNNNNNNNNNNNNNNNNNNNNNNNNNNNNNNNNNNNNNNNNNNNNNNNNNNNNNNNNNNNNNNAGUAAGGAAACCAAAUCCUCUAUAUCUUGAUUCAACAGUAAUAAGCUUUUGACAUUCUGGAAAAAGCUAAAGGAACAAAUAUAGAAAACAAAAAAUUGUGAGAAUGACGUCCGUUGACCCGUUUGUGUCCCCCCGGAUCUGCAUGUUUUUGUUGGAAGGCGUAAUAUGCAUUUUGGUCCUCCAUUGUCUGUCAGACGUGUGAUUUGGUCCUUAAUUCAGUUUUAAUUAAUAUAAUUUGAUUCUGAUUUAAUUUUAAUUUAGUCUAUUUCACUUUUCUGAUAUUUUGUGUGUGUGUACAUUUGUUGAAAAGAGGAAAGCCUCUAAUUUUGUUCUCAACUGUCUCAACCAAAUCAAAUCGCAUGAAAUGACUCGUGCGAUCUAAUGCUCGAGACAUUAUGAAAAAGUACCAAGAAAUCAAGAGUGAAUACGAGGACGACAAAUUAACAGAAGAUGAGGUGAAGUGGAGAUUACUAGAAUUAACAGAGAAGCUUAAGAAACUAGAACAACAAUGAUCAAAAGAGGUGCAUCAAUGUUUGAAACUCAAAGAAAAUGCUAAGUUUGAUUUCAAGAUCUUAAACUUGUGGUUUUUUGAGGACUUGGAUAAAGUAAGGGAUUGUCUAAGCUAUGGUAUAUGCGCAUGCACACUUCUUAUUGAUAUUAACCUAUAUAGCCCCUUUGGCUAGAUGGGAAAAUUUUCUUUUAGGCCCUCAUAAAUUAAAACAUUAAAUCCAAGUCUUUUUACCCUUUUAAUUAAAUGGAAUAAUUGCCUUUUUGGCCCUAUGAAAAGUUAAUAAUUUAAUCUAAGCUUAUUUUGGAUUUGGUUUUUUUUAAUAGUGUUAACAGGUAAAUCUAAAUUUUCAAUGAUUUGAUUUUUUUUACACUUGUUUGAUAAUCCAAAAUAAAAACAAUCUAAUAGAAUCUUUUAUACAAAAAACAAAAAAGUGUGAAAAAUUAUAAAUAAGUAAGAGCUAUUUAUCACUUAAUAGAGAAUAUUUCCAAUUAAUUCAAUUUUAUUUUAUUUAUUAUAAUAUUAUAUUAUGCUAUAAAACUUUAGGUUUAAAAUUUGACUUUUAUUUAGAAUAAGGUGAAAUAUUUAAAAAUUGAGGAUAAAAUUUAGAACAUAACUUUUUAUAAUUUAAUAUUUAUAUUUAUCAAACAGAUUUUACAACUUAAACUUUCAAUACCUAUUUUUUCAACACUUAUUUUUUUAAUAUUUAAUUUUUAAAUUUAUCGAAUAAUACCUAAAUUCCUAAAAUUAGAAGUAGAAUGACUAGAUUUUAAGUUUACAAAAAAUACAUCUACUUAUGAAAAUACUCAAAAAUCUAAGAUAGUUGGGUAACUAAAAAAAUAGACAAAUUAAUCAUUUUAUGUUAAACCAAAGAAUAAAUUAGUUCUUCUGUUAAGAGUUCCAUUCAUUUCUACUCUUAAAAUUUAAUUCAUGUACAUCAAUAUGAAGUACACAUGACAUAUCACGUGUCACUAUUUGAUUAUUCUAUCAGCCAUGUCAACUUUUAACAAUAGAAAUGGAUGAAAUUUUUAACAGAAAUGAUCAAUUUACUCAUUAAUCUAAUGCACAGAGACUAAUUUACCUAUUUUUUAGUAGAGUAGGAAAAAUACAGUCUAACACUUAAUAUGAGGACCUCCAUAGUAAUUUUACCAAUAAAGACAUUUGUCCUUGUGCACUAGCAAAAAGACAAUUUCUACUAUUUUAUUAGAUUACUUGAGCAGGGGUAUGUUCAACUACUUUUCAAAUUUUCUCUUAUGUUCUGAGGAAGCUGGUCAUAUCAUAAAUGUAUAUCUAAAUAUGUGUCGGCACAUGUGUCCAAAACUUCCUAAAUCAGGUUAGGUUGAUUAUAAAGUAAAAAAUUUGAAGGUUAAAAUAAGUUUUAAGUAGUUACACAUUUUGCAUAUUUAGAAUUUAGUCUUCUUAAUUUUACUUUCAAAAGUAAAGUUCUCUACUUUUCGAGUUUAAAAUUUUAAUUAUUGUAAUCGUUGAAAUUAUAAAUUUCUACGACAAAUAUAACAGUAAAUUAAAAUAUAGAGCAGUAGGGUCAAAUCCACAGAGACCUAAUUUUGCCUUUUCUUGUGACCAGAUUCGCAGUCGCGGUCAUAGUCAUGCCCAAAUUUGAUGGGUAGUAGUGCUGAAAAAAAAAGAAAUAAAAAUGGGAGGUUUAAAUUGAUUAAGAUAAUAAAAUAAGGAAAUAUGAAAUGUAAUAAAAUAAAACAAAAACAAUUUUAAAAAUGCAAAAAUAAAUUUAAGAAAAUAAAAUAAAUUGGUAAAUGAAAUAUUUUUAAGCUUAGCCUUAGCCACGCCAAUUUGUUCGAUGGAUUUUGAAUACAACAACGCCGACUCAACUUUCCAACUGUACGCCAAACAAUUUCAACCCAACCCAUGCUUUUUGAGUUUAAAUUGAAUCAGCUUUGAGGGACGAAUUUGUACUAUCCCAUAUACCGGAGAGAUAGCGAAUAUCAAAUUGAAAGAUUCUUUUAGUAGGCUCGUAUCUCAUGAUUGUUUUGUUAGAGCAAUUUUAGGGCUAAAGCCAAAAAGGGUUUAGCUAAUAAUGGAAAGAAUCAUGCUUGAAAAUAAAUGGUUUAAAUGGAAUUCUGGAAAGUAUAAAGGCAAAAAAAAACUGCAAAAUUGAAUGGCAAAGAGGCAGGAGAUGAAAAAAAUAGAGAAUUUAUUAAAUGCUAAAGGCAAAAUGUAUUCGAUUGGUUGUAACUACUAGGUAUUUAUAUACAUUUUUAGUGCUAAAAUUUAGCACGAUUUUUUCUAAAUAUUAUCACUAAAUAUUAUCACUAAAUAAUUCGAAAUUUAAAAAUCGAAUUUAAACUAGUUACAGAGUUGUAACAAUAUAAAAAAUCCUUCAAUCUUUAUCCAGCCACUUUUAAAAAAAAAUCUUCAACCCUUCAAUAUUUAUUCAAUCAUCUUUGAAUCUUCAAUCUUUCAAUCAAGCCCUCCUCUUUGCUUUUUGUUCCAAUUUAGCCCUUUUUUUGUAAGAGUUUGAAUUCAGCACACUAACUUCAUUCCUGAUAAGAAAAAUCCAAAUUUAAUAGCAUUUUAUUUGAUAAUUAGCCAAAAAUAAAUAUAUUAAAAAUAUGAAUUUAUCUUCCUAUCAAUUUUUUUUAUCAAGCAUUAAAUAAUUAAUGGAAAAUUAAUGUAAUAACUUUUAAAAUUAACAUAAUAGUAACUUUAACCUUUUAAUAUUUUUAUAUUAUAUCAAUUUAGUCUUGAUUCUAAAAAAUCUAAUUCUCAAUAUUCAUACAUCGUGUAUUUGAUCUUUUUUACAUAUUUGUUUUUCGUUGUGACCCUUUCACCUAAAAAGUUUUAAAAAAAAAAAUUCAUCAACUAAAUUUGAUUGAAAAUAUAUUAAAAAUGAAAACACCCAAAAAUUAAAUAUAAUAAUUUCCGUAUUUUCUCAUUGUAUUAAAUUUAACCCUCCAUGUCACAAAAAAAAUGCAAAAGAAAAACUAAAUUACAUAAUGUAUAAAUAUUGAGAGUUAAAAUUUCUAUUAUACCGAUUUUAGAAGCUGUCAAGUUAACCUCCCGUUAGUAAUUUAAAGACCAGUAACUAAACAAGAAAUAAUUGAAUAAUUAAAUAAUUAUUUUGUAUCUUUCCAUAAUUAGGUGAUUAAGAAAAACUUAUCAAUAAUUAAGUGACCUUUGAUAACGAUACCUUACCUAAAAAUACAAUGAAAGUGACUAUACACGGAGGGGAGGACUACCGACAUAAAAAAUAAUGCAUUGUAUCGAGAGCUGUUUCCAGCUUUUUUGGGUCACUCCAUUAGAAGAAAAAGCAACAGCCAUAGUAUCCAAUGACCCACUUGCAUUCUUCUAUAAUUAGACCCCCUCCAAUGAAUACUCUUCAGCAAGCAGGCGACCUUUUCACGGUAGGUACUACUAGGUUUACUUAUUCAUUAUCUCUCUUGCUUUGAUUUUCCUGAAUUUCUUGAGAAUAUUCUGUUUCAUAUAAUUUUGCUUCAAUGAUUUGCUUCUUCUUAAUUUAUAUCUGAAUGUUCGAUUGUAUUGUUUUUUUAUUCAACGAUUUCUUCUGAUCCAAGUUAAAAUUUUCACAUUUCUGUGCAAGAUGAGCAACGGUGACAGUCAUUGGAAUGAUGAAGAUUGGAAUCUAAUUUUGCCUUUUUUUCUUGUGACCAGAUUCAUUGUCGCGGUCAUAGUCAUGCUCAAAUUUGAUGGGUAAUAGUGCUGAAAAAAAAAAGAAAUGAAAAUGGAAGGCUUAAAUUGAUUAAGAUAAUAAAAUAAGGAAAUAAGUGUAAUAAAAUAAAACAAAAAUAAAUGCAAAAAUAAAUUUAAGAAAAUAAAAUAAAUUGGUAAAUAAAAUAUUUUUAAGCUUAGCCUUAGCCUCGGUGUACUCCAAUAUUGAAUCUAUCUUUAAGACAAAAUUUCACUUCCAAGCGAUAAGCUGGUUAUAGCAAUCGAGGAUCCUUCAAACCACCAACUCUUCCUUUCAUAGUCGAUCCCAAUAUCACCUGCAAAUUGACCCUUGUCAAAUUUCCAACUACAUGACACGUAACCUAUAAUAUAUAUGGUAUGCAUAUUUCUUAUCAUUCAUAUUAACCAACAUAACAAAGUCUAUCUUUUAAUCAUUUAACUUUAAAAUGUUAUAAAAUGAUCAUUGUACUAUUUGAAAAUUUUCAUUUAAGUCACUAGAUUGUUAAAAUGGUCACUAUAUCGCUUUCUCUGUUUACACCGCCGACACCAAUCAAAAGUUUAAUCUCCUUCCCAUUUUCUUCUAAAAUGUAUACUUAUUAAUAGUUCAAUGACCGUAGGUGUAUUUUAUCAUAAAUCAAAUUAUAAUUAUUUCAUCUUUCCGCAUGCAAUUUGCUUAGUUUUUUUCUUACACCUAGUAAUCAUUUUCAGCUAUAUUAUUUGAAUUUGAGUUUGAACAUCAGAUACACAUUCAUGCUCGAUACACUCUGACACAUUGAAUGAUCAUAUCCAAUUCUUUUAUUUGAAUAUGUGUUGAUAUAUUAUUCAUUUAUAAAUCACUUUAUAAUUACAAUUUCUUUUCUCAAUCACAAUACUUGACCUAGCAAAAAGUCAUUCACAAUUAUGUUAUAUGAUUUUAGAUCUAAGCAUCGGAUACGAAUUCGUAGCACAGGCAUGGUUCUGGAUGUUAUUUCUGGCCUUCGUUUUACUACAGACAAGUUUCUUUACUCGAUUAUAUUAUGAGCAUCCAAACUUUAUAUGGUAUUCAAUGAUCAAGUAUACAAUAGUGUCUUCUCAUAUUGAAGUAAACAACUUGUAUUGUUCUCAAGGGUAAAAUUAGAAAAACAAAUUUAGGGGACAAAUUAUAGUUUUACUAUCGUAAAAAUAUACAAUUUAAUUAUGAUUCCUCUCAAAAAAAAAUUUGAACGUGUCUAAGAGUGAUGUAUUCGAAAAUGGCAUGAAGUUAGUAACAGUAACCAGGGCUCCGCUAAUUAGAUGGGAAGCAAAAGGUGAGAAAAAACUAGAAAUGAUUGUUUGGAGUCCUUCACCUUUGGGCUAUGUCAAGAUCUAUCCCAACCCAAAGCGCUUUUUGAGUUUAAAUUGAAUCAACUUUGAGAGACGAAUUUGUACUAUCCCAUAUACCGGAGAGAUAGCGAAUAUCGAAUUGAAAGAUUCUUUUAGUAGGCUCGUAUCUCAUGAUUGUUUUGUUAGAGCAAUUUUAGGGCUAAAGCUAAAAAGGGUUUAGCUAAUAAUGGAAAGAAUCUUGCUUGAAAAUAAAUGGUUUAAAUGGAAUUUUGGAAAGUAUAAAGGCAAAAAGAAACUGCAAAAUUGAAUGGCAAAGAGGCAGGAGAGGAAAAAAAUAGAGAAUUUAUUAAAUGCUAAAGGCAAAGUGUAUUCGACUGGUUGUAACUACUAGGUAUUUAUAUACAUUUUUAGUGCUAAAAUUUAGCAAGAUUUUUUCUAAAUAUUAUCACUAAAUAAUUCGAAAUUUAAAAAUCGAAUUUAAACUAGUUACAGAGUUGUAACAAUAUAAAAAAUCCUUCAAUCUUUAUCCAGCCACUUUUAAAAAAAAAUCUUCAACCCUUCAAUAUUUAUUCAAUCAUCUUUGAAUCUUCAAUCUUUCAAUCAAGCCCUCCUCUUUGCUUUUUGUUCCAAUUUAGCCCCCUUUUUUUUGUAAGAGUUUGAAUUCAGCACACUAACUUCAUUCCUGAUAAGAAAAAUCCAAAUUUAAUAGCAUUUUAUUUGAUAAUUAUCCAAAAAUAAAUAUAUUAAAAAUACGAAAUUAUCUUGCUAUCAAUUUUUUUUAUCAAGCAUUAAAUAAUUAAUGGAAAAUUAAUGUAAUAACUUUUAAAAUUAACAUAAUAGUAACUUUAACCUUUUAAUAUUUUUAUAUUAUAUCAAUUUAGUCUUGAUUUACAUAUUCAUACAUCGUGUAAUUUGAUCUUUUUUACAUAUUUGUUUUUCGUUGUGACCCUUUCGCCUAAAAAGUUUUUAAAAAAAUAAAUUCAUCAACUAAAUUUGAUUGAAAAUAUAUUAAAAAUCAAAUAUAAUAAUUUCCAUAUUUUCUCAUUGUAUUAAAUUUAACCCUCCAUGUCACAAAAAAAAUGCAAAAGAAAAACUAAAUUACAUAAUGUAUAAAUAUUGAGAGUUAAAGUUUCUAUUAUACCGAUUUUAGAAGCUGUCAAGUUAACCUCCCGUUAGUAAUUUAAAGACCGGUAAUUAAACAAGAAAUAAUUGAAUAGUUAAAUAAUUAUUUUGUAUCUUUUCAUAAUUAGGUAACUAAAAAAAACUUAUCAAUAAUUAAGUGAAUAGUAGUGAAAUUGUAAUAAUACAAUGAAAGUGAUUACACACAGAGGGGAGGACUACCGACAUAAAAAUAAUGCAUUGUAUCAAGGAGACCUGUUUCCAGCUUUUUUGGGUCACUCCAUUAGAAGAAAAAGCAGCAGCCAUAGUAUCCAAUGACCCACUUGCAUUCUUCUAUAAUUAGACCCCCUCCACUUUGUAAUCUUCAGCAAGCAGCCGACACUUUCUCUCUUCUUCUCUAACAGUAAGUACUACUACUAAGUUUACGUGUUCAUUAUCAUCUCUUGCUUUGAUUUUCUUGGAUUUCUUGAGAAGAUUUUGUUUCAUAUAAUUUUACUUCAAUGAUUUGCUUCUUCUUAAUUUAUAUCUGAAUUUUCGAUUUUAUUGUUUUUUUAUUCAACGAUUUCUUCUGAUCCAAGUUAAAAUUUUCCCAGAUCUGUGCAAGGAUGAGCGACGAUUACAGUUUUUUGAAUGACGAAGAUUUGAGUAUCUUCAAAAAUGUCUAUGAUCCGAUAUCCGAGGUCGCGAAAGUACGACCAUUGUUGUCAGAAGAGAUCAACCCGUCGAUGUCGAGUGGAAGCAAAAAAAGAAACCGGGAUUUAGAUCCCGGUAACUCACAAGAAGCUAAUGGAAAAGUCGGGAAGAAACAACGCCGGUGUCCGCGAACCUUUUAUGCCGGUGAAUCAUCAACUUCCCGGCUACAAGAAUGUUUGAAAGGGAAAACCGUGGCGGGAAUGGCGAAGGUUUACAAGGAUCGAAUUAGCAGGCGUAUAAAGAACGUAAGUUUCUUAAAUAAAUUCACGUUAUUAUUAUGGGCAAAUUCAGCAAAAGGUCACUAAACUAUUAGUAAAUAAAUUUUUUGGUCACUUAACUCCAAAAGGUUACAAAAUAGUCAAUGAACUAUUUAAAAGUUAUCAUUUAAGUCAUUGGAAUGUUAAAAUCAACAAUUGUACCAACCAGAAUCUCUCAUUUCCUUUAUCUUUUACAAUUUAGUUUGUUUUUCUCAAAUGACUUUGAAAAUUACAAAUCUGUAAACAAAAAUUCAAAUAGUUUUCUUCUUUGUUUUUCUACUCGCUUAUGAGUACUGAUUUGUUAUCCCAAUCGUCAAAUCGUCGCUUGGAGCUCGCUAGCUGACCUUAAAAAAAAAAACUUAAAAUCCUAGUAACUUAAAUACAACUUUUGAAUAGUUUAGUGACUUAAAUAAAAACAUUCAAAUGAUUUAGUGACUAUUUUGUAAUUAUUAGUAAGUUUACCCUAUUGUUAUUCACUUUAUAUAUAUUACGGGUAAAUUAGAAAAAAAAACUGUUUUUGAAAGUUAAUUAGGGAUUUAAGCAGUUUUUAUUUUCUAGGGAAAUAAACUAAAUUUGGAGAAAAACGUGUUUAAAUUUGGAGAGAAACAACAUGUUUAAAAAGGCUUUUUAAUGUGUUUUUUUUUUUAACAACUUAUAACACAUUAGAUUUUUUUUUUUGGGGGUUAGAUAGAUAGAUUUUAGUAUUUUGUGUUUGAGUCUCCGGUUUGAUUCUUUUUUACACACAUCUUUAUUUUUCAUUUAAUGUUGUUUUAAUUUUUUUAAAAUUUUAAUUAAUAAUUAAUUUUUUUAAAAUAAUAAAUUUGGGAAAAAUAGCCUAAAUCCCUAAUUAACUUUUAAAAAGGGCCCUUCCUUUUUUCUAAUUUAACCUAUAUAAAACAUCUAAUAAGGUUUUUUUUUUUUCCUAGGAGAAAAGGUGAGGAUGAUCUUCACCUCGGAAGAGAAUAAUACUUUAUAAUAGAUGCAUUUUGAAAAUCUUUGUAUCAACAAUACGUAUGCAUUGUUUCGUAUCUCUUGCUUUCUGUAUAUUUGGUAAAAUGAAGGACAAGGAAGCAGACAAGGACGUUAUUAUAAGGAUAGUUCGUAACAUGAUGGCCAUUAAUGCCUCUCAUCUCUUACCACGAGUUUUCGGCUCCCUCGAGCAAAUCACAACGCAAUGGCCAAUUCGACCUGACCUCCAACGUAUGAAGCAAAAGAUUCAAGAAAUCGAGAAGGACGACAGUUCAACAGACGAGGCAAAACGAAGAAUAUUCGUUGAAGUAGAAUAUGAGUUGGAGAGAAUAGAUCAAGAACGGCUAAAGGUACGCUAAAUUUUACGAAUUUUUGAUUACUUAGUUCCUAUAUUCCAAGUCUCCAAUAUAACUUUGUAGUUUGAUUUUCAGGAUUCAACAAAAGCAGGGAACCUUGAUGCAGUCUUCACGGUAUGUAUAUUCAACAAAAGCUAUCUUCAGCUAUGUUAUUCGAAUUUAAGUGGGAUGAUCAAUUUUAGUACUUUUAUCUAAAUAUAUAAAUCAAUAAUAUCUUUCCUCAUUACUAGACUUCUUUUCAGACCUAACAAAAAGUCAUUUUCAACUAUUUUACUUUAUUUCAGAUGUGUUGGAUGUGGGUUUGUAUCUAAUAUGAGUAUGUUUUUUUCUUGUUGAAUCUUUCUAUGUAAUAUAUAUGUAUUUGAAACUAUAAACAUGAAAAAGAAUAAUGCAUAUCUUAUUUCAUCAAGUUAUUUGUUUCGAUUAUUUAUUUUCAUUUCUCUUAAAUUUCAGGAUUUUAACAUGGGGACUCUACAAAAAGAGGUACGAUAUACAUGCAUAUAUACAUAUGUGCAUGCAUAGAUUGCAUAUGAUUCAUGUUUUAAAUAUAAUGCAUAUUAUAUGAUAGAAUACAUAAAAAUGUAAAAUUAAAAUUCAUGUUGUUUUAUAUUUUUCAAAUACAUAUCACAUCAUUCUUAUAAAUUAUAACCUGUUUUUUUUUUUUUUUUAAAUUGUUCUAGCUUUCUUCAGCAUGUCUGUGGCUGAUGUCGAAGAAACUACAGCAACUAAUCAUCUUAUUAGUGUUGAUGAAGAUCAAGAUCAGCAUCAUGGAAGUUUGCUAACUCCUCAAGUGUUAUACUCUAAUUUUAGCUAUCUGAAAAACCAACCUUAUGACAAAAGGCAACUGUUAUGCCACCUUCAUAUCACCUACGACCGCGGCUCGCCACACCAUUGAGCACAAUUUCAUCAUGAGCUGCCUCCACUAAAAGUGGUUGAGAUUCUUCAACUGUGCAAGUCACCUACAUUGUCAUUUCAUCAAUCUACAAGAUUACAUCAGCGUCGCUACAAAGAAAUAGGAUGUGACCCUACCGCCAACAAGAUACUUACACGUAACAUCACCUAUGUCUCAUAUAUAAACUUUCUCACCUAGAAGGAGGGAUGAUCCUCACUCCCUCUCUCUCUUCUCUCUCUUAUUAUCCUUCAUCACAUUAUCACAACAGCUCUUCGCCUUUCAAGGGUGAAGCACCAGUCACCUCUGUCAACUCUUCCCCUUGUUGAUUCCUGAUAUCAACAACAAAUUGUAUAAUUCAAGUUUUCCUGCUUCUCUAAUCCUGCAUAGACUUUUGCAUUUAAAACAGUAAGUAUUGUUGAAUCUUCUUAAGCACUAAGAUAUAUAUAUAUGUGUGUUUAGCUACAAUGCAUAUCUUACUUGACUAAGUUGUGGAGAGUCUAAGAAAGGAGAUAUGAUAUGCAUAUACAUAAAUACAUUUAUAUUUAUACAUUAUUGCAUUGCACAUUAGCUAGCUAUUUAACAUUUGAGAAUUUGGACUUCAAAAUAUGAUUUGGGUAUUAAAAAUAGAACAUGUUAUGUGAUAGAAUACAUACAAAUGUACCAUUUAUGAUUUUUUUAUACCCAUGAAUUUAUUAAAUGCAUGGUAGUAAUGAAUUUGAAAUUCACUUUUUAUGUAAUCUUAUUAAAUAUCAACUAAUUUAUAUAUAAUCAUACCCACAUCAUUCUCAUAAAUAUGACUGGUUUUCUUUCUUCUUCUUCUUUUUUGUCUUGUUGCAGCUUUCUUCAACAUGGCCAUGGCUUAUUAGUGCUGCUCAAGAUCAAGAUCAUGGAAGUUUAUUUACUCGUGAGGAGUUGCAGUACUCUACUUUUAGUGAAUUAGAAAACCAACUUUGUGACAAGGACAACAAGAAAGUGGCUGUUACCGACUUCCAUGGCUUAGAACAAGCAUUGAACAACAUUGGCUGGUAUAAAACACCGGACUACCUCAAACCGAUUGUGACCCGAAUCGAAAAUGUUCGUGGAAAAGCUACCGAUUUUUGCCAUUACAGUAUUCAAGUUCUGGUUUGUGCCGCAAUCAAAGAGAUGGAAGAGGUAUCAAUUAAGGAAUUAAACUGGGACACAUUGAAAAAAUGGGCCGCGACACUCAACCAGGCUAAGGAACUUGGUUUUGAAGCGGGAUUUGCUUACAAUCUGUUGCAGAAGAAUCUGUGUUCCUACUUUUGUCACUCGAGUAAUUUUGGACGAAACUGAAAAAGAAAAAAAAGGGUUUUGGGAAUCAAAGGUGGCUGCUGAGCUCUCAUGUUUUGCAGUUGCAGUUGCAGCAAAAUCUUUGGUAAGUCACCAUUAGAAUUGAGCUUUCUUGCAUUUAAGCGUUUUAUCUUUACUUUUCUCUUAGACUAUAUGGUUUUUUGGUAUGAAAUCGUGUGUUUGUAUUGUGUUUUGCAUCGUGUUAUAAUUGCAUUUAGAAUUUUUGAUAAGAUGAGGAUCUUUAGAAAAAUGAAGAUUCCAGUAAUGGUUCACGACUUAAGAAAAAUAACACUCCAUCAGUAUAUCAUAAGUUAAUUCAAGUUGAUAAUUAUUAGAAUUAUAUAAAUUCUAAGACAUUGAUAUAUAUAUAUAUAUAUAUAUUGCUAUUUCAUGAUCUAAAUCUUCAAUUUAACUUUUAAGCUUGGUUUUUCAGGACUACAACAAAGCAAGGAACUUUGAAGCAAUCUUCACUGCUAAUAAUAUAUAUGGUAUGCAUAUUUCUUAUCAUUCAUAUUAACCAACAUAACAAAGUCUAUCUUUUAAUCAUUUAACUUUAAAAUGUUACUAUUUGAAAGUUUUCAUUUAAAUCACUAAAUUAUUAAAAUCGUCACUAUAUCGCUUUCUCUGUUUACACUGCUGACACCAAUCAAAAAUUUUUCUUCCCAUUUUCUUCUAAAACGUAUACUUAUUAAUAGUUCAAUGACCGUAAGUGUAUUUUAUCAUAAAUCAAAUUAUAAUUAUUUCAUCUUUCCCCAUGCAAUUGGCUUAGUUUUUUUAUUUACCUAGUAAUCAUUUUCAAUUAUAUUAUUUGAAUUUGAACAUUAGAUACACAUUCAUGCUCAAUACAGUCUGAAUGAUCAUAUCCAAUACUUUCAUUUGAAUAUGUGUUGAUAUAUUAUUCAUUUAUAAAUCACUUUAUAAUUACAAUUUCUUUCCUCAAUCACAAUACUUCACCUAGCAAAAAGUCAUUCACAAUUUAUAUAAUUUUAGAUCUAAGCAUCGGAUACGAAUCCAUAGCACAGGCAUGGUUCUAGAUGUUAUUUCUGCCCUUUGUUUUACUAGCUAGAGACAAGUUUCUUUGUCCAACUCGAUUAUAUUAUGAGCAUCCAAACUUUAUAUGCUAUUCAAUGAUCAAGUAUACAAUAAUGUAUUCUCAUAUUGAAGUAAACAACUUGUAUUGUUCUCAAGGGCAAAAAUUAGAAAACAAAUUUAGGGGACGGAAUUAAAUUAUAAUUUUUACAAUAGUAAAAUUGUAAUUUUAUUAUUUUAAUAGUUUAUAUAUUUAUAAUUUUUAAAAGAUUAAAUCAAAUCUUUAUAUUUUGAGGGAAACCAAAAUAUAAUUUUACCUUUACUAAUUUUAAAUUUUAGAGGAUGCUAGCCUCUGUCAGCCUUAAUUGUUCUUAACAAAAUUUCCACCCUUACAUGACUUAAAAGGCAGAUUAAAUCCCACUAAAUUUUUAGAAAAAUGUUUGUUUUCAUACGUUGCAAGAACCUAAGGUACAAUAAUAUUAAUGAACUGAUCAUGAAAUAUAAUGUGGUGAUUGUUCAUCUAUUAUUUCAGCUAUGUUAUCAGAGGUUCAAUCUCCGCUCAUGUGAAUGGAAUAUAUUUUAUGUCUAGCUGUUUACCUCUCCAAAAAAAUACUCCGAACGAGUGAAUUAGUUACUACUACUUAUAAUAGAUAUCUUGGUUUUGAACAAAAAAUAAUAACAAUGGACCUGAGACGGUUAGGUCAGUUCAAGUGUAGCUAUUCGCUUUUAUUCAUAUUGUAUCGAAGAAAACUCUAUUUUAAGAAACGUGUAUAUAUCUUAUACUAUAUUUAAGUUUUUAAUUGAGAUGAUGCCAUUGAUCAAUUAGGCAUCAAUUUAAUUGGGAAAUACAAAAAUCUAUAUAAAUCAAUGUAAAUCCAUUCAUGGUAGGACUUCAAUAUAGGCUACCAUGAUCUUCGAAAUAUUAAUUUUACCAUUUCAAUUAAAAAUUUAUUUUUUUUAUAUUUUUUAUAAAUAUGCAUUUACAUAAUAUUUUUUCUAGAUAUUAUAAGCAUGUCAGAAUUUGAUGUGCAUACACACAUGUAUGUUUGUAAUAUGUAUUAAACAUAAACUACUUUCCUUUAGGAUCAAUAAAUUAGAAUAUUUUUUAGUUUAAAAGAAUUUUUGGAAGUAAUUUUUAAAAGUUUAACUUUUUUUUUUACAUAUAUUUUAGAUUGUUUUAAAAAAUAAUUUUUUAAAAAGUAUAAAUUUUUAGAAUUUUUAUAAAUAUUUUGAAUUUUAAAAAUUAUUUUCAAUUUUUGAAAAUUAUUUUGAAAUUUGAAUUUUUAUUAAAGAAGAGACCAAUUUGCUCAUUUUUGAAAUUGACAGGGACCAAAAGAGUAUUUACACUAAUCUGUUAUUCGAAUUAUUCAAGUUGUAAAAUUCAACUCGACUCGAACUCGAAAUUUAAAAUUUCUUAUUCGAGUUAGACUCGAACAAUUUGAAUAACUCGAUUCAAUUAACUUGAAAUUCGAAUUUUUUUUAAUUUUUUCGAAUCGUAUCGAAGUUUGCUCACCCACCGCUAGACAAGGACCAUUUUGGAAAUAAAAACCAGAUUUUGAGGCUCAGACAAACAAAUUUUCAAAAUAGACAAAUGAAGAUUAACAGAUGUCCGUUCCUUCAAACUAGCAGAUUUAUUAAAAUAAAUUGAAUAUGAAUUAGUAAGUUCCUUCACUAUUUCUGGCACGGAUGACUUGAUGAACUCUUCUUCAUUUUUUGUUAAUGAUUCUCGUCGGACAACAGCAAAAUUAUAAAGAAGGAUAUGAUAGCGAAUUGGUAGAUUUAGGACUUACAGGUUUAAUGUAUCUAUAUCGGUGAAGAGAAGACAGAGAAAAGGCCGCCGCCGCCGCCGCCGAAGAGUUAAGCAGGAAAAACAAAGGAAUUCGUUGGUUAGAGAAAGCUUGGAAGUUGGGUCUAAACUUUGGGCUCAUUUUAGGCUAUUGUUUUCGGCGGAACCGGAUUUGAACUUAAUAAACAGAUAUAAACUUUUGGUUGGGCCCAAUUUAAAUUUAGCUCGGUUCAUCAUUACUUAUAAUUUUUAAUAAAUUAAUAAUAUUUUUAGGGCUAAUUAAAUAAAUUGAAUAUGGAAGUUUAAAUUUAUCUCCAAACUUCAAAUAUUUUAAUUCACUCUUUAAAAAUAUAUUUUUUUAAUUUUCUUUUCAAUUUUUACAUAUAUUUUCAAAUUUGAGUUUUUUUUUUAAAUUUAUAUAAAUUUCGAAAUUAUUAUUAUUUUGUUAAUUUAUAUAUUUGAAUUUUUAUAGAAAUUUAAAGUUUUCAAAUUUUCACGUAAUAUUGAUUAUGUGUCACAAUAUGGUGUUGUCACGUCAUUGAAAAUGAAUGCAGCUACAAACAAGCACUAAAAUACUGUAAAAACGUAAUCUCCUCAAAAUCAAAAUUCCACAGUCUUCAUCGCAGCUCUUCCAACACCUCGGUUUCUCGACGCUAGCUUUCCUCAUCGGUUUCUCGAAAUUCUAACUCAACUCCUUCGAGUCCUUAAUAUAGGCGCUUAUAACAGAUCUGUCAUCUUGUUCUAUUUGCAGUUUCCUGAUAAUCGAUCGGGUAUCCCCUUCAACUAUCAUUUUCCGAAAACCCAGAUCGAUUCCCAUUUAUACUGUCUGGAGAUAGGCCAAUGCUUCAGUAGCAAAAGAAGAAAGAAUGUAGCUAUUCAGAAUGAUUCUUGAGCCCAUCACCUGCCUACCAAGCUCGAACAUGAUUGUUUUGUGUGAUUUUUGAAGGCUGCAUCAAAGUUUAUUUUGAUAAACGCUGGAUCUUGUGGGCGCCAUCUUUCCAUCAUAAUCUCUUAGCAGGUAAAUUUCUCUCUAUAUCAUCAAUUUCCUUGAGGUAUUCUCUUAUGAAAACAACUGAUUCAUGUGAAGAUUUUUUAAUCCCUUCAUGCACCUCUUUAUUCAUUGUUGUCCAAAUGACCCAAGGAGCACAGAACACUGUUCUACAUUUGCGUGUUGAAAUGGUAGACACAAUAUCCAUUAACCAGUCUCUAAAUCCCACUCUGUGAUACAUCCUUAUUCCAUGUUAUUUCUAACUGUUGUCAUAUUUCUUUUACAAUGAUACAAUCUCGGAAAACAUGCUCUAUCGCUUCAGUUCCCUCUGAGCAUCGAGGACAGAUUGCUGAACUUCGAAGCCUUCUGUAAUGGAGAUUCCAAUACGUUGGAAUGUAGUUAUUAAACAGCCUCCAUAUUGUAAUCUUAACUUUUGAUGGCAAAUUUGUCUGCCGCAGCUUCUUGUAGAAAAUGGUGUGACCAUUAUUGUAGUGUCUAGGCUCAGAUGUAUCCUCUCCCUGUAAUAAUCUUUUAUAACCACUCCUAACGGUGUACUCACCAGUUGCAUCACCCCGCCAGACCAACGUAUGUUUGUGUUAAUUUAGUAUUGAGUUAAUUUGUGACAUAAAUUCAAUCAAUGAGAUUAUUAAUAUAAUAAAAAUAUGGGUCAAAACUUUUGUGUCAUAAUAUCAAAAUAUACAAAAAUAAAACAUUAGUUAAUGGUAUAAGUUCAAACCUUCUCAUUUAUAAUUUAUUUUAUUGAUUUUAUUUAAAAUGUAAAAAAUAAAAUUACCAUUAAAAUACAUAAAGGUAAUUUAGUAAUUUUUCUAACCGAGUCGGUGUUCAAGGAUUAGAAGUAAAAAGAAACUAUCAUUGUUAAAAUGUAAAAACUAUUUAAUUUUUUUCAAAUUUAUUAAAAUAUAAAUAAUAUUUUAAAGUAUUUUAAAGUCGUAAAUAUUGUGAAUAUCAUUAAAAUCAUUAAAUAAUUAUUAAAAAAUGAUUUAAAUUUUGCAAAAAUUAUAAGAAAUUUGAAAAUUAUAAUAAUUUUAUCAUUUUUAUUAAAAAUAAAAAUUAAAAAAUUCUAAAAUAGCAAGAAAUUAUCAUGCCAGGAAGAAAUCAAAUUCGAGCCUACUAAUACUUUUACAUUAAUUUUGAUAUUGAAAACUCAAAUUUGAGCUUAGAACUUAUAAUCAAACAUAGAUUAAAUUAAUUUCUUACGAAAUCGACGAAUUUAAUCUUAUACAGUAUUUAAUUUUAAUUAAUAUAUCAAAUAAAAUUUAAAACUUAAAUUCAAACUCUUAAUUUUUUUUAAUACUUAAUUUCUCAGUUUAACAAAGCAUUAAUCUCAAAUAAGAUAAACUUCACACAUACAGAAAAGUAAAUGUAGAUAUCAUUAAAGCCAAUAUUUUUAUAGACUGCAGCAAGCCAGCAACAGCAACAGCAACACAACCAUUUGCUCUUGGGAAGCUAUAUUUUUACGGUCGAUUUGGGCAGACAUUGAAUAGCAAAAUAGGCAAGAAAAUUCUUCUUCAACAGAUUAUCAGCAAAUCCCACUUGAAAACCAUAUUUCUUAGCGUAAUUAAGUGUCGCGCUCCACUUUUUCAAGGUACCCAAAUCCAAAUCCCCAACCGAGAAAUCUUUCAUCUCUUUGAUCGCAGCGCAGACCAGAAUUUGAAUGGCGACAUGAAAAACAUCAGUAGUCUUUCCACGAUCUUUUUCGACUUGGAUUGCAAUAGAUUCGAGGUAGUCUGGAAUUUUCCCCCAACUCGUUUUCUUUAAUUCCUGUGCCAAGCCUGGGAAAUCUUUGCAUUCCACUUUGUCGUUGCCUUUGUCAUAAAGUUGGUUCUCCAAAUCACGGAAUUCAGAUUGUACUCCUUCACGUGUUGGAUCAUUGGCUGCAGUAACUUUUACCUUGCAUGGAGGUGGGAAAAAAAUCUAGAACAAACAAACAUGAAAAACAAGUAAUAAAUUCAGAGCAAUGAAAUAAAUUCUGUGCUUAACUCUGGAAAAAUGGAUUUUGAAUACCGUGUGAAUUGUGAGAAUGUUGUGUAAAUGAGAUAUUGUUGCUCACUCGAAUUUAACUUGAAAAGAAUUCGAAUUCGAUUUAAUAGUUGUUGAGCUGAGUUUAAAUUACAUUAUUUCCCUUAAUAUGUUAUUAAUUUUAAACUUAAUUAUUGAGCCAAUUUCGAACUCGAGUAGCUCAAUUAUAUCUCGAGUCAAGUAUCAAGUUCCGAAUUUUAAAUCGAGCUCAGCUCGGCUCUAUUACACUCUAUACAUGACUACAUAAAACUCAAUUGAGAUUUGGUGUGGUUAUGUAUUUGAAAGACAUAAAAGAAACAUGAGAAGGAGAAGUUAGGAUUAGUUUAAUAUUAUUUUUGAGAAGUGCUUUCAAAAAGUGCUAUGAAAAAGUGAUUUUUGACAAGUACUUUUAAAAAGUUUAGUUUAAGAUUUAAGUGUUUAGUAUUAAUGUCAAAAAGUACUUUUAAUAACUAAAAAAAAUUGCUUUUACUUUUGGGUUGAACAGCACUUCUGACUCCAAAAGUUGUUUAGCAUUACUUCUGGCUUCAAAAGUAUUUUUAACCCCAAAAACACUUUUGAGAAAUAAUGCUAUAGAAAGCCUUAUUAGUGAGGAUAUUACCUUUGGAUAACUAAGUUGCCAUGCUUUUUCUUUGAAGUCCUGAAAAUUUAAGUUAAAAAAAUUAAAUUAAAGAUUUAGAUCAUGACAUUAAACCUGCUUUUUCAUACAAGUCCUGAAAAAUCAAAUUAAAAAAAAUUAAAUUAGAGAUUUAGAUCAUGAAAUUGAACUUAGUAAAUAAAUUCCUAAUAAUUUAGGUACCUCUGAUAGUUGUGGAUCAAAUUUAAAAAAAAUUAAAUUAGAGAUUUAGAUCAUGAAUUAAACUUAGUAAAUAAAUUCUAAUGAUUUACGUACCUCUGAUCGUUGUCGAUCAAGUCGCCGCUCCGCCUUAGCUUCUGCUAAUACAGCAUCGUUGCAGUUGAGGUCAGUUUCUUGGGUCACAUGGAUAAUCACUAGGGGAUCAGAUUGUAUUGGCCAUUGCAUUUUCAUUUGGUUGCGAUGGCAGAGAACUUGUUGAGAAGCUUUCGUUUUCCAGACGUUAGUGGCUUUCAGCCCGCUCAGCAGCAUCUCCACCAUGCGUUGCCACUUGCAUCUCCAAUUUGUUAUCUUGCCAUUCUUUUCACACAAAACAGGUAUUAAGAGACAAUCUACAGCAUUGUCAAUGCAAGGAUUUUUGGACCAACUGUUAAAAGAUAUUACCAUUUCCAAGGAUUUUUGGACUAGACACUAGACAGGGACCAUUUUGGGAAAAAAAAUCUAGAUUUUGAGGCUCAGUUUAUGAAAUGAGCUCAACACAAACAAAUGAAUAUUAAUCAUUUACAGCCCUACUUGCAGAUUUAUAAAAAUAAAUUGAAUAUGAAUUAGUAGUUUGAUUAAGAGACUUACGUUAUUUAUCCCUCUUUCUGUUGGAUCAUCGUAAAUUUUCGCUCUUUUUUGUCUCCAGUACCGGAUAUCCCUCGGUUUCCUUAUUCCUUUUCUUUCUUGUCUCAAUAAGUCAUCGGAAACAAAGUUCAGAUUUCUUUUCUUGCUUCCAUUCGACAUAGACUGAUGCUCGAGUUCUGCCACGCCAUAACCCAUCUUCUUGUUCGGAUCUGAGAAAUUUAACUCAGAUUUCCCAAUUAGAACAACAGAAAAAUUAUAAAGGAGGACACGAUAGCGAAUUAGUAGAAUUAGGAGUACUUACAGGUUUCAAGUAUCGAUAUCGGUGAAGAGAAGACAGAGAAAAGAACACCGCCGCCGAAGAGUUAAGCAUAAGAAACAAAGGAAUUCGUUGGUUAGAGAAAGCUUAUCUUUAUUUCGAGAUUUUGAAUAGAAUUUAAUGAUCUUAAUUUGACAACCGAUUUUGAGAUUGAAAGUAAACUGAUUUGAGACGUACCUUUUCCAUCGUCUUCGGCCUACUCCGACAAACUUCUCGAAUAACUGUUGUAAAUGAAUCAACGGGCAUGUUUUCUAAUUUUUUUUUCACUUUAAGCGGUCGUUGGAAAGAAUAGUCGGUCACGGAUUGCUCUUCAUAUUCCAGUUCUUCCAACAAAAUUACGAUAGUUUUGACCGCAGAUCGGUCUCCGGCGCCAGGAAGCAUAGCGUUCAUUGCAGACGAUGUGUUUCUGUGGUGGUCGAGGCAAUCUUCAAUCUUCAACAACAGUUCAAUUUAAUCUCUGUCCAUGUUGGAUUUGGUCGUGUCUUCCGCCAUUGAUGGUUCAAACUGAAAUCAAGGCAAAAAUUGCUUGAUUAUUGCAAGAGGAAGAAAGUGAAAUAGUGAAUCGAAAGAGAUGAAACUUCAGGGUUGUAGAUACCACAAUACAAUAUAAUAAAAAUAACGUCGGUAGAUGAGAAACGGUCCCACCAUGGACUUUUAUAUUUUCACGCGCGCGCAUAUCACAAUGGCUUCUCGCGAUGGGCGCGAGCAUAUUCAACUUCAACAUAACAUUCUCGCGAUGGGCGAGAGCAUAUUCAACUUUAACAAUAUUAAUUGUUUUUAUCCAUUACUGUCUAAAUGAACUAAAAUAGUCGUUCUAAGAAAAUUUAAAUGACUUUACAAAAAGAAAAAAAUUUAAAAAAUAAAGUGGUAAAAAAAACUUCUUCUUUUCUAAUUCAAACCACCAAAUACCGACCAUUUUAAAAAUACAGUCAAACCUUAUUACCUAACCACACUGCGCUCGCGUGUUCGUUGAAGCAUAUGGCUCCAUAUUUGCCCCUGCUAAUUUUCCAGUAAUCUUCUUGCGACAAUUUUAAUAGAGGAAGUUCAAAUCUCGAGCUUUUCGUGAUGGAAAUUAGCCUUAUUUUUAAUCCCAUCUCAUUGAAAACUUUCUUAGUUUCUUCGGUUGACGCUCUCACACCCGACCUGCUCUCUCUUCCCUUCACUGGUAGAAGUACUUAUUGUUGAAUUUACUUAUUCAAUAUCAUGUCUUGCUUUCAUUUUGCAUCAUUUCUUUACUUUGAGUUAAUAUCAUUCCAUACGGUUUUGUUUUGCUGAUUUGUAAGAAGAUUUUGAUGCCUUUCACCUGCAAAUCGUUUGUGUUAUUUCUUUUUUUUUUUUUUUUUGGUUUCAAUGAUUUGAUCUAAUCUAAAUUUCUUAGAUCCGUGCCAAGAUGAGCUUCGUUAAGUCGCCAUCCUCCGAUGUUCCACAUCUCGUUGACAACUUCCUGAAUGAUAAUAUGCCACCAGAAAUCAAUAGCCUCCUUGAAGGGGAAAAGACCCCAAGUGAGAACUACUUGACGCCGAGUGCAAGAAACUCUGAUCCUAAUAUGGUAUGCGUAAUUUUUUUUAUUUAAUUUAAUGAUGAUGUAUUUAUUAUUUAUUGACAGUGCAUGAAAUUUAUAUAUCAGACGGUACAUAAAAAAAUUAUUACUUGUAAUAAUUAUCUUUUAUUUUCUGAUGCGCUAGAUUUAUUUUUAGACAUUUAACUAUUUUACUUGAAUAUCAAAUAUAAAAAUUUAUGCCUAACAUAUACAUGUUCAAUUUUUCUGAAUUUUUUAAUGCAUUUAGAAGAAUUUGGAAGGCCAUAUUUGAUAUUGCUACAUUAUUUUUAAGUCACAUUAUAAUCAUAAUUUCUUUUUCACUAUAGUUGUGUUUUUAGACUUAGCAAUAUGGAUUCAUGUAUCUUUUAAGUUUUCCUUUCUUUUUCUUAAACUUAAUGACUCAUGUCAUUCUUGAACUUAAUAUCAUAUCUUGCCUAAUACAUUGCAUUACAUGCUCUCUCUUUUCUUCACUGCAAUGGAAGAAUGUACAGUUGACUUUACUAAUUUAAUAUCAUAUCUUGCUUUAAUUUUACGUAAUUUCUUUACUUGAGCCGAUAUGGUUUUGUUUUGCUUAUUUCCCGUUGAACUGCAAACUGUUUGUAUUUUUUUUGUGAUCUAAUCUAAAUUUCACAGAUCCAUGCCUCGAUGAUGAACACUGCUAAUAUGCUAUUGACACAACAUGGAGUGACACCAGCAACGAAUUCGAUGAAUUUUCAAGAGGGAGGGUUCUCAGUUGGAGACCCUGAGUCUCGUAUGAUGGUAUGCAUACUUUUUUGUUUAAUUUAAUGAUAUGUGUCAUGUGAUUAUUUACCGAUAAUGCAUGAAAUUUAUAUAUCGAUGAUACGUAAAAGAAUAUUACUUAUAAUAAUUCUCUUUUCUGAUGCACUAGAUUUUUCUCGUUUUGCUGAUUGGAAAGAAGAUUUUGAUGCAGUUGUGUUUUUCUGUUCUUUUCAUUUCAAUUAUUUGAUUUGAUCUAAAUUUCACAUAUUCGUGCCAAGAAGAGCAUCGUUAACAGGUCAGUCCUUAAAGAUUUCAAUGAAGAGAUUGGAGACUUGAGACAACAUGGUGGAUUCACCUAUAGUGGAGACACGAACUUUCAAGAGGUAGAAGUUAAAUUUUUACAAAUUUAAUUACUCAAUUUAAAUCUCCAAUCUAACUUUAACUUUUUAAUUUGGAUUUUCAGACCUUAACAAGAGCUGGGAACCAUGAUACUUUGGUAUGCAUUAUUUUUUGUUUAAUUUAAUGAUGAUGUGUCAUAUUAUUAUUUACUGAUGCUUUAUGGUAAUCAGAUAUAUAAAUAACACUCUCAUAAUUUAUGGUUUUUCUUCAGCAUAUCCGGGCCUUAAUAUUGUUGAUCAAAAUCUUGAAUUUACUAAUUCAAUAUUAUAUCUUGCUUAAUACAUUGCAUUACAUGCUCUCUCUUUUCUUCAUUGCAAUGGAAGAAUGUACAGUUGACUUUACUAAUUCAAUAUCAUAUCUUGCUUUGAUUUUGCAUAAUUUCUUUACUUGAGCCGAUAUGGUUUUGUUUUGCUGAUUUCCCGUUCAUCUGCAAACCGUUUGUGUUUUUUUUGUGAUCUAAUCUAAAUUUCACAGACCCAUGCCUUGAUGAUGAACGCUUCUAACAUGCUAACACCACAUGGAGUGACACCAGCAACCUAUUCGAUGAAUUUUCCAGAGGGAGGGUUCUCAGUUGGAAACCUUAAGCCUCGUAUGAUGGUAUGCAUACUUUUUUGUUUAAUUUAAUGAUUUGUGUCAUGUUAUUAUUUACUGAUAAUGCAUAAAAUUUAUAUAUCGAUGAUACAUAAAAGAAUAUUACUUAUAAUAAUUCUCUUUUCUGAUGCACUAGAAUUUUUUUGUUUUGCUGAUUGGAAAGAAGAUUUUGAUGCAGUUGUGUUUUUCUGUUCUUUUCGUCUCAUGUCAUUCUUGAACUUGCUCUUCGUGCAUCUUUCCGGUUAAAUUUUUUCGUCCUGCUGUUUACUGCUAUUACACUGUUGUUUUGUUCUGCAAAAUUUUUGUCCUUCAAUCUAAAAAACAUUGUUGAAGAAUUGCCAAAUCAAUUGAAUUGUCCACCUUGUUCCGAACAUAUACUUUUCUUGUAUGUCUUCAAACUCACAAGCCAAAUUUGCAAGAACAAUUUCUCACGAAAUGACUCAUGAUUUCACUAUGUUGAGUCUUGAACCAUAGUUUUGAUAUUAGUUGCAGGGAUUAAUGGUUGAAACGUUAUCAACACAAACUAAAAAGAAAAAAAUUAGAUAUACUCAUUACUGACAUUAUAUAACAUUGUUUGACCUCACUAGCUUACAUUGCACGGAUAAAACUACAAACCAUCCUCCCAAAAGAUCCCAUAAGAAUGUCAUUUUCCUUCGGCUACUUAAUUUCAUAAGCUAAACCCUGUAGUCUAUUUAUAAGACUAUUACUUGUCCACCAAGAAACAUUUUUCAUUAAGAUUUUUACUUAUUAAUAAUACCUAUUUCAUUAACGAACAUAAUCAUCUUGCAAUAUCCAUCAUCUAUGAUUAUUUAUUAAACCCAUGAAUUUGUUGAGUACGUGUUAGUAAUCACAUCACAUUAAAUCUCAACUAAUACAUAUGUUAAGUUUCUUUGCUAAUUUUCCAUGAAUCUUCUUGUUUCAAAUUUACAGAGAGGUAGUUAAAAUCUAAAGCUUUCCGUGAUGGUAGUUGGCCUUAUUUUAAAUUCCAUCUCAAUUCCUUCGUUUCUUCAGUUUUACUCUUCGACACCUGACCCUUCUCUCUCUUUUCUUCACUGCAGUAGAAGUACGUAUGGUUGAAUUUACUGAUUCAGUAUCAUAUCUUGUUUUGAUUUUGCAUAAUUUAUUUACUUUGAAUCAAUAUCCUUCCAUAUGGUUCUGUUUUGCUGAUUUGAAUGAUGAUUUUGAUGCCGCUAACCCGCAAAUCAUUUAUGUUUUUCUGUUCUUUUCGUUUCAAUGAUUUGCUUUAAUCUAAAUUUCUCAGAUUCGUGCCAAUAUGAGCAUCGCUAGCACUUCAUCCCAUGAAGCUAUCUCUGAAGGACAAGUGAACUACUCGAAUCAAGAGAGCGAAGGGUUGNNNNNNNNNNNNNNNNNNNNNNNNNNNNNNNNNNNNNNNNNNNNNNNNNNNNNNNNNNNNNNNNNNNNNNNNNNNNNNNNNNNNNNNNNNNNNNNNNNNNAGAUGAAUGACUCGAAGAGGAGUAUAGGCAUUAAAAGAAGCUUGGAUGCUAGAGAAAAGGGCACAGAGGAACAAUGCAACUUCCAUCAAUCACUAGAACCGAAAAAUAAAAAAUUAACCCUCGAACAGCUUGGAGAGAAAGAUGAGAAGCAAAUAAACAAGAUAAUGACAGAUCGGCUUAACAGGCAGCUAGAGCAGGUAAAUUCUCCUCAUUGAAUUUAAUAAUUAUUUUUAUAUAUUGAAGGCAAAAAUGCCAC
rnacentral:lncRNA from 1 species